CUUGGCAAUAAAGAUACCUAAGUGUGUUUAUAGCUGUUGUGGACCUUUGUAGGUAUCUAUUUACUUCUAAUAUGUUCUGGCAUUUUCAUUUGAAGACUAUUUUAGUGAGAUCUAGUAUUUGCAACUAGAUCGCAGUGCAUGACGAAUUAUUUUCUUAUAUUUCUUUACCACACAAUAAAACUGAAUAUUUUUAGUUCAGCUGCAGUGCUCUAAAUUCAGAUUUUUUAAAAAUGCCACUUACGUAUACCCCUGGUGUUCUAGGCGCCUCAAAUAAUCUAAAGAAAAUAGAUAAUAUUUGUUCACGAUAUCAGACGAAUGACGAUUAAGAACUGUCUGAAGGCAAGAUACAUCUCAAAUCGUGGUUGGAGUAAUGACUUGGCAGCCGUUAUUAUAGACAAUGAAUUACUGAUAAUAGGUAGUUAAUCGAGAACAAUUCGAAAAACAACUCAACAACAAUUCAAAUGGAUAAGCAAGUAUGUACCUACCUAUAUUUAUGUAUUUUUAUUUUAAAUUAAUUUUAGAAUUGAAAUCUAAGGUACAAACUGAUGAUUGUAAUUUAAAAUUUAAAUUUCGUAAAACUUUUUGUAGCUUAUAUAUACAUCUUACUCCUAUACAAUAUUACCUGCAUUAUUAUAUAUUACUAUAGACAGAUAGGUGGGUACCUGGUACAUUAAAGUGUUAGCUACCGUUAGCUUUAUCUGAAAUUUAAACAUCAAAAUUCAAGAUUUAGGUUUUUAUUUUACGUUUUAAUACAGGGGCUGUGAUAAGUAAUAUAUUUGCGGCAUAAUAUACUCGCCAAUUGUUUUUUUUUUAUAAAUUUAGGUUGAACUCUGGCUGUGUAUUAUUAGAUAAUAAUUAUUAAGAAAGACAAUUACAUUAAAAAAAAGAGAUAGUUACAAUAAUUAUCUAUAAUCAAUAGAAAAUACUUUUAGGUGACUACUCGAUUUUAAUUUCAUAUCCACUUAUUACGAUUUUUAAUUUUAUUUCCAGACGAAAAUAUGCUUGUAUGUUGGAUAGGUAAAGAUUGUUUCUUUUAGUAUGCGUAGUCGUGGGUGUACAAAUAUUAAAUUUUUAACCUGUUGUUCAUUAUUUAUAAAGGUAAAUUUGUAUACAUAUAAGAACGUUCCUCAUUUCUUGGAGUUGAAGGUUUUUAAGUGAAAAAACCAGUUCCAAAUAUUUUUAAAAAGAACCUGUGAAUUAUUCAGAAUUUUAUUUCGACGCAAGAUGGCGCCUCAUGAUAUGUGUUUUUACAUUUAAGACUUAUAUUUAUUCCUAUACGCUGCAGAAAAUAUCUGAAAAAACUUCAAGCUGCAGGUAGAAAUUGACUAGUUAACAACUAUUACCUCUUUCUAUGAGGGAGGGGGAAAUUAAUUUUGACAGAAAUGCACAUGUUUUUGUUUUUGUUUAUUUUCAAAUUUAUGUCUUUUAUAUAUUUUGCCACCUAGUGUCAAAAUAAAAAUCUGAUCAAAUCGUAGGAUUUUAGAUUCUGAGUGGAGCGUAUAAUGUAUUGGUUUUACCAAGAUGUAAAUAUUUCUGAAAGGAAAUUUUCUUGGGGUGGUACUUUAAAGAGGUCAUUUUUAAAUUUUCUCAUCAAAUGUGAAGAACCAAACAAAAAUAGGAAAAUUUACGAAGUAUAUUAGUAAAAUAUUAUGAUUUUUUUUUCUGUGGACAACUUUUCUACCAGCAAUUUUGCUCCGAUUUACAAUGGCUGCACUUUUUCUAAAAGGAAAUCUGAUUGGGAAGGUACUUAAGAAGGGUUAAUUGUUUGAUUUUCCCAGGAUUUUUUCAUAAAACGUGGAAAGCGGGAAAAUCGGUACAAUAUAUUAACAAACAUUAUCAAAGAAAAUAUAUUAUGCUUAUUUUAUUAUUUUAUCAUAAUAUAAUUUAUAUAUAUACUUUUGAUAAAGCAUCACUAUCAACCGAAUUGCGCUCAGAAUUACAAAAAAUGAUCUCGAUACUAACAGGAUAAAAUUUCCUUUCUGAAAAGGUGAUACAUCGGAGCAAAAUUUCAGGUAGGAAAGUUGCUUACAGACACACAUAAAAAAAAAAAAAUAAUAAAAAAAAACACAUAAUAAAACCAAUAGAUUUCGCGUUAUGAAUUGAACAUUAAAAUUCUGAAACUUUAAAUUUUUUGUUUUUGUUUUUUUUUUUUUUUAAAAAAAAGUUUUUGAAGGUAAAAUAUACUGUAUUCUAAGAAUCUGAAGUUUUCUAGUUUUUCGGUAGUAACUUCUUUAAUAAUGAUUUCCGUGAAAAAUUCCAAUAUUUUUAAAAUCUGUGUAGAAGAAUACAACUUUUCAAAAAUUUAGAAAUAUGUGAGGGGCGUGGUAAAGUCCUUGUUGCCGCAUUUUUAUGGAUAUUUAUUAUUUAUUAUUACUCUUUUGUAACACUGAAAAAUGUAAAAAUAUUGAUUUUAUAGUUUUAUACAAAUGAAUACAAUUUUUAAUUUGAAUUUAUCAAAAAUUAUUUAACAGAGUUUUUUUGUAAUUCAGUAUGUAGUACAUAAAGUAAUCGUAUAAACCUAAGUUUGUAUUGAAUACUUAGAUUAGCUCUUUUUAGACGUGGUAAAAUUUUCAAUUCAAUCCAGUUAGUUUUUAGCUAUUAAUUCGACAUUUUCGUGUUUUUUUUUUUUUUUUAGUUUUUAUUUGAUUUUUUAUCGGUACAAUUUUUUUGACUUCUCAAAAGGGCUAGACAUUUUGAUACAAGACAGGUUAGGUUCCUAAAAAACUUCUUCUUUUUCACCGAUAGUCGCCUGGAUGUUCACCACCUAACUGAAUAUGAAAUUUUAGAGUCAGAUUUCCUUUUGGAAAAAGUGCUAUUGUUAAAAAUCGAAGAAAAAUCGCUGGAGACAAGUUGUCCACAGAAAAUACAAAUCGUAAUAUUUUACUAAUAUAUUUCAUAAAUUUCUCCGUUUUUCCUCGUUUCUUUGUCGUUUUUCACAUUUGACGAAAAAACUCCCGAAAAAAUCGAAAAAUAACUUCCCUUACGUACCGCUCCAGUCCCCGAGAAAAUUCCUUUCGGAAAAAGGCGUACAUCGUAUACACCGGAGUAAGCUUUCUGGUAGAAAAAGUGUUCACAUAAAAAAAAAAAAAUCUCUGUAAAACUAACACAUCCUUCGCACCACUCAGAAUCGAAAAAGGCGGCUUUACCGUGGGUUACAUUUUUUUACACGCUAUAGGUUAUCUCUGAAAAAAAAAGACCGGGGUCGCUACAUAUUUUUCGAAUCUCCCUCGGCCGAUCUGCGACUAGUUUUCGCCCGUGACUUUGCGACACCGUCGUAUAUGUUAUAGCAGUAAGGUAUACAACGUGACAUUACACAACACACAAAACGUGAUAGUAAAACCACUGAAAUUCAGCUUUCUUCUAAAUGCAUAAUAUGUGUAUUUCUGACACAAAACCCCACUGAAAAAAACAUUUUUAUAUUUAAAUAUGAUAAUAGUUAUUAUAAUUCACAAACACUGUGCAGGACACUCUAUACAGUAAAACUGCAUUUACAUUAGUAACAUAAUAUUUUAAUUUAAUUUAUUACGUGUAAACAAUGCGAGGAUAAAAAAAAAAACUAUGAAAAAAUAAAAUAAAAAUAUUUCAGGCGAUUAAAACUAUUCACAUUAUGGCGUGUGGGAAUAUCGAUUAAAAAACAUUUUUACUUUUUUUUUCUCUGUCAAUUAUUAAUACCGCGAAAAAAAUUUAUAAUUUAUUAUAGUCUUAUGGCAUUUCAGUGAUUUUUUUUUUUUUUUUUUAAAUCUCGAGUGCUUUGAGCGCUUCGCAGUUUUUUUCCCAUAGUUUUAGCGUUUUAAAUAAUUCGCAACUCACAUUUCACGAUCUAUGUCUUAAUAUUAUAUUUAUAUACAUACAGGUACUGCAAUGACGUAUUUGAUAUCGUUUCAUCAGUGGUGUGUCCUGCAGGAAUUUUUAACGGGAGGGAAUGCGAUAUGGUGAAUAAUAAUCGCGGUUCAUGAAUAAAUCAUGGUAUCUAAUGAUAAUUCUUCCUUUAUAUUAUUACCUGUCCUGAAAAUUUAAAAUCCGUGUUCAAAAGACCAAAGUCCUUUGUGUCAUGUAACACUAUGAUAUUACUACUAGAGUAGCGAACAACAAUACAAUAAUAAUGUAUUCAUCUUGUCGUAAUUAAUUAUUUAAUCGAAACGGAAGAAGAGUAUUUGCAGGUUACGCCGAACAUUUCAAAACCGAUUGUAUUAUUGGGUUUCUAAACGUGCCUAAGUUUAGAACGCUCUAUAAUAUCCUCGUUGUGUCCGCCCCGUUCGUGUGUAGUUACGGUUGUUGAUUUGGGAUGACGACGUUAUAUUUACACUUGAACCGAUUUUGUGCUGUUUGUUUUAAUAUCAGAGUGUAUUGACCCAUUAUCAAACUUGAAGGCAAGAACGUCGGUCUGUGUUUGUACGUAGGUUUAUUUUUAAAUAUUUUAAUUAUUAUUAUUUUUAAAUUGUAAUAUUUCACAUGCACAUUCACAUUCACUCACUUGAAAAUUAAAAUAUGUAAAAAAAAAAAAAUCAAAUGCACAAAUACACACAAUGUUCUUACUUUGUAUACAAAAAAAAUGUAAAUAUAACGACAUUAAUCAAUUUUACAACAUUAGCCGUAACAUUGUUGUAUUAUUGAAUUUAAAUUUAAAUGCAUAACAUUACUACCGUUAUUAAUUUAAAUAUGAGUAUAAUAAAUAUAAAUUAUAAAAUUAUUUACUAUUUACAUAUACACUAGCCAAUAUUAAUAAAAUAGGUAUUGACAUUUAAAUACUUUAAGAAUUUUAAAAAUGUUCUGUUAACAAUUUACAAAUUAAGAUAUUUUAUUUAAUUAGUAUCACAUAAUAUUUCAGCAUUAUAUACUAGGUUACAAAAUUCUUUGAAAAUUAUGCACCUGUGAAUAUAAUUAUAGUGUAUUGUUUAAAAUAAGUUUAGAAGCCGGAAACUUAGUACUCCCGACUUCCCUAAAUUUAAAAUAUUAUAACAUAGUUAGGUAUUACUUGCAUUAAUUAUUAUAUACUUAUUUACUUGUUAUGGAUUCGAAACUUAAACUUGUGUAAUACUAUAUAAGUAGUUAGGAUGUAUAAAUAGUGAAGUAUUCUGGGAAGAGAUACCUCCUCUCAAAACAAUUUACUCGACUAUCUUUUAUUAUUGAUAUAUAUAUGUAUAUUUGUAAAUUAGUUUUUAGGAUUACCCAUUCUUACCUAGAAAAAAAAAAUGCAAAAUUUUCGAUAUAUUUCUGGUUUAUACCUUGGUUAUGGAUGGAGCAAAAAUACAUGAUUAAUUCUAUUACGUAUAAAAUAGUUUUAACUUCUGAGAAGCGAGGAAUGUAUUGGUUUUACAAUGUUAAUUUUUUGUUAUUGUGAACAAAUUUUACACCAGAAGUUUUGCUCCGAUUUUCAAGUGUAGCACUUUUUCAGAAAGGAAAUCUGACUGGGGUGGUAUUUUAGGUAGGUUAUUUUAUGAUUUUUCCAGGGUUUUUCAUACAAAAUGGGAAAAAUGAGAAAAUUUAUGAAAUGUUUUAUUUUUGAAUCGUAAAUAUUACGAUCUUCUAUGAACUAAAUUAUCAUGUAUUUCCUACUUUUUGAAUAUUUAUAAUUAAAAUAUAUUAUUUUAUCGUCGUAUGUAUUUUAUUUUCAACAUAUUAUUUCUAUACAUAAUACAUAGAUGAACAUGCAUACUUCACAAAAUUGUCAGACUAUAUGAAAAAAAAAAAAAAAAAAAAUGUUUGUGUGCUUAGAUGAAAAAAAAUAAAAAUAACAUAUAUAUCAUUGUAACCUUAACAAAAAAAAAAAAAAAAAAAUCAUAGCAAGAUAAAUUUAAUAACCGAUGAAAGUUUCGGCGAAAUAAAAAAAAAAUAUCCGUUUUGUUGAAAACGUUGUAAAUUUUAAUGGUUUUUUUUUUUUUCAAUGUUUUUCAUGGCAUAGUUUUUCUGUGUGCUCGGGGAAACUAUUGGAUAAACGACCUCUUCAACUAUUUAUAUUAGGUACAAUGUACAUAUAUAUAUAUCUAGAACAACUCUGCCGUACCGCGGUAAAUGUGUUUACUUUGGAAGAUUUCAGUAGGUAUUCUUUCUUACGACCUCUCAAAAAAAAAAAAAAUAAUGUUUGUGUGCUUAGAUGAAAAAAAAUAAAAAUAACAUAUAUAUCAUUGUAACCUUAACAAAAAAAAAGGUUUGUUUUUUUUUCGCGGGAAAGAAGGAUCCGGGUAUAUUUAAAAAAAAAAAAAACAACAAAAUAUAUUGAAAGCAACGAUAAAUCAUUCGAAAAACGAUUUGUGCGCAACUCUGUGUGAGUGUAUGUACAAACGUAUAUUAGGACAAGGUCCGUUUUCGGUAUAAUAUCUUAAAAAGGAUAUGGUUAAAUUGAUUUGGGUGUAAAAAGCGGCCGUGUCGCAUGUCUGCAUUUUUAGCGUUAUCGUUUAGAUUUUAUUUAUUAAGAUCGAAAAUAGGUCAUUUUCGGUUUUGUUUCGUUUUUGUAUUUUUUUUGUUUAUUUAAAAUAUGAAUAUUAUUCAAGGAGAAAAGAAAGGAGUGUAUAAAAUACGUAUCGAAUAAAAAAAAACGUCAAGUAAACACAUUUCAUUUUUUCGGCUUUACGAUGACGACUAGAUUGCAUGUACUGCAAUUACAUCUACACCUAUAAUUAUAAUAAUAUUGUUAUCGUCUACAACUUAUAUAACUAUAUACACCUAUAUAUUUUUAUUUUAUGAUUUUUCGGUACCUACUAUAUUAUUACAUUUCGCCCUAUGUGUAAUUUAUAAGAUAUAAAACUAUAAUUUCGGAAAAAAAAUUUCGCCUUGACCUUCACAAAUCAAUCGCGAUCCCGAGUGGGCCGCUAUUCUGUUAAUAAAACUGCUCAAAGUAUAAUGCGCUCACUAUCGGCUCACUUUCUUGGCACAUUCCUUAUAAAGUACGUUCCUUUAAAAGUAUGCAGAUUACGAAAUGUCUGGAGGUGUCGCAUUUGACUUAAGUACUCGUCGUCCUGCAGUCUUCGGUAUAUUUUCAAUUCGAUUAACAUCCUGAGUUUUUAUCAUCAGACGAAGAAUUUCGUUACAAUUUUCGCAUAUACAAAACAAUAUAAUAGUAAUAUAUAGUUCCUAAUAUACAGCGUGUCCCACUAUGUUCGACAGAUUUUUCUAGAGCUGUUUAAAUUAUACAUUUUUAAAUUUCACGGAUUUCCAGAUAAUUCCAGUUAUCAGUUAAUAUCACUUAUAUAAAAAAAAAAAAAGUAUACUUCUACCGAAAAUACAGGAAUAAAUGCUAACUCCAGAGUCAAGUACCAUAUGCACGCCAAGUAUGCCAAGUACGCGCGCACUUUUUAACGAAACAUAUUCUAAUAGACCGCCGGGUGAUUCUUCUGUAUAUUUACUUCUAUAAUCGUACGCAUAACUUAUUCAGUUGUAUCGUCAUAAUGUUGUGUUUGAAAUUUAAAUACGACAUUUAACGCUGCAAUUAUAAUAUAAUGCGCGUAGAAUAGUAUUACGUAAUUUCAUAUGAAUAAAAAGUACAUCAUUUAUACAGUAUUAUAAUAUGUAACUGGCUUAUAACUGUACAGUCAGGAUUACUGAAUAGGGUUGAAAAAAUUGGGUUGUUUUGUAACGAUGCGAAAAAUAAAAAAUAAAAAAAUACGUUAAUAUUAUGUCUCUAUACAUUUCUCGAAUGUCUCGUUUUUAAUGGUUAUAGAAUUCUUUUUAAAAUUUAUGUUUUUACAUUUUCCGUUGAGUGUACAUAAUAUACGCGUAUUGUUCUGCGAUUAACACAAUAAUAUAUAGAGACCGCAGUGUACAUUCAAAAUGAUUUCACAUAAUGGUAUGAAUAAAUGACACAUAAAUCACAUAUAUUAUAUAAAAUGAAUACCUAUAUAGUUUUAUCAGCUGGUAGCGACCCGUAAAACGGAAUGAAUUAAUCUUAAAUUUUUCUCGAGGCUAUUGAACGGCACGCAAAACAAAAUGGAUGUCUCAACAAUAAUUUCAAAGUUGAAUUUUAAUCAUCAUCUAGCUAUACAAAUAGUUUGGUUCCUUGGUGGCUCACAACUCUUAACCCACUCUUAACACUCAACUGAACAAUAGAUACAAAAACCCCACUCCUUGAAUUUCCUUUAAAGACCAAAGGCGCAAAUAAGGUGGAACAUAAGUUUAUCUUCUUUCCGAAUCCAUGAAAUGUCCGCGCACUAAUGUUUCCAUCGAAAAAACGGUUUCUCGUAGUCCCGUCAUAAAUUGGUUUUGCUUUGGUUCCCUUAAACUGUGAAUAUGGUUUAAACCGUAAACACGGAACACUGCGAAUACUGAUAAUGCACACAUAAUAUUAUGAUUUAUAAUCAUAAUUAUAAUUAUAAAUUCGAUUCUUACUUCUCUACUCUAAUCUUCCGAAAAUCUUAAAGGCGACUGCCUCUCAAAUAACCGUUCGCCACAUUGUCCCUGGUCGGUAACACUGUAAACUGAAAUGUUUUCAGUGAAAUAUACGUAGGCAAUUAACGAAAACUCAAUAAUAAUAUUUAUCGCUUGUAAUACUGUAAAAUAUUAAUACGUUUUACGAUCCUAAAAGUAUUGUUAUAGUUGUCUUGAUUUUGUCUACUGCAAUCUAGCAUUUUAUAUUUUCUUUUGUUUUUCUUCGAUUUUUUCAUUGAAAAAGUUUUACGAUAAAAUAUAAAUGUAUUAUAUCUAUAUCUGUGUAUUAUAUGAAAGGUUAGCGAAAUAUAUAUUAUACAUGUAAUAUAUUUAUACUAGUCUGGUGAAAAUAUUUCAUUAAAACCCGUCUUUCGAAUGAAAACAAUUUUCGAGCGAAAUCGCGGGGGGGAAAAAAGUAUACUCGGUGAACACUUUUCCUAUAUAAUAUUAUUUCAUAAAAUAUGCGAUGUACUUACCUCCGUUCCGUUAUUGUGUGUGUUUACGUGUAUAUAUACAGAGUGUCUCACGAUUAUCCGCAACUUGAAAUUUGCAACUUUUGUUCUAUUCGAUAUUUUAUUUUAAAUAAUUAGUAUGCCUCAGCACUACAGUUUGUGUCUGAACAUUUUUUUUUUUAAGGGAAAUGGGACUUAAAAUAAACAUUUUUAAAGUUUUACUAUAAUUUUUUUAAAAAAUUCAGAAAAGCCAUUAUGUAAGAUAGAUUUUUAGAAAAUUUUUGGUGGUUGAAACUUUUGUUCAAUUAUGGUCUUUCAUUUUCUACGAUUUUUUUGAAAAUUUUAAUAAUUUUCUCUUCAAUCAUAACAAUAUUGUUUACCAACAUGUAUGACCAUUUAUCUACUACCUAAUACCCAUAAUAUGAUAAUGUUAUUGCAUUAUAUUAACUCAUGGAAAAGAAAACCCUUGUUAUGUGUCCUGGCUAAUAACUGAUGAAAUAACCACAAUAGGUAAUAUUUAUGUUUGCAAAACUUCAACAAAUCGUAGAAAAUAAAAGAUCAUAAAGAUUCAACCACCAAAAAUUGUAUAAAAAUUAUUUUACAAAACGACUAUUUUUAAUUUUUUUUAAAAAAUUAUAGUAAAAUUUUAAAUGUUUUAUUUUAAGUCCCUUUCCCUCUAAACAAAUAAAAUAAAAAAAAUGUCCACAUAUAAACUGUAGCGCAGAUGCAUAUUAAUUAUUGAAAAAAAAAAAUAUGUCAAAAAUAUCGAAAAGAACAAAAGUUAUUUCAAGUAGCAGAUCAUCGUGGGACACCCUGUAUAUAUAUAUGGUACGCGGUUUUACAACACGCAGUCUUUAAUCUCGCUUUGCAGUUUAUACGUUUAUGCGGAAAUAUCAUCUGGGAUACGUGUCGGGUUUCUGUAUUUUGUAUUAAACAAAUCUUAGCGCGAAAAUGAUUUAUGCGUCUACGCUGGGCAUGCACAUUUAUAUCAAAUAUUUCGCGGGUUGUUAUACCAAAAUAUUACUCGCUCGGCUCGAUAUUAUAUACGCGGCACCGUACAAUUUCGUAUUGCCAUGCGGUUUUAUAGCUGCGUGUUGUACAAUAUACGCGGUUUGUUUAAAAUAAUAUUGUUUUCCCGAUGCGACAGCCGCCGGAUAAUACGAUACAAAAUUGAUGACGUAUAUUCGGUGUACAUAAGUAAUUUUUAUUUACGCCUUUCGUUUAGGUUCUCGUUUCAAUUGUGCGCACAACGAUUUUAUUGCUAUGAAAUAUAUAUAUAUAUACAGUGUAUUGUACGUCUUACUAUAGUUACUGCUCGCGAAAACAAAAAUAUCAAACAAACCUUCCGCCCUGAAGAACUGAUGUUAUUACUGAUGGGCGUGCCACUGUUAUGCAUAGCGAGAGGUGGGAAGUGGGUUACGCGGAAUACGUAAAGUCAUUUGAUUUAUAUCUGUACGCGACGAUAAAUUAUUGCAGAAAUGCGAUUCUGAGCGAACUUCGGUCAAACAUAUGUUUCGAAAUGCCGUCGUUUUUACGAUUUUCGUCAAAACGACGUUGAAUUAAAAUGAUGAUAAAAACAAAACUACUGCAACGUUAAGCUCCACUUUUUUAUUUGACCGUUAACGCGUGUGUGACUUAUAAUUUACCCCGUGUAAAAUGUGUAAAAUGAAUAGCUCAAAAAUAGCCAGAUUCCUUUGAAUAUUUGAUCGCGUUUAAUAUAAAGGCUAUAAUAUAUAAGUAUUCUGUCUGUCCGCUAUGAAAAAUCUUUAUUCUGAUCUCGAUGAAACUUUCCACACUCAACAUUCAAAAUAAUUAGAGGUAAAUUGGCGUUUAAUUUUUAUCACGAAAUUUAAACCGUUAAAGGGGUGGAUCGUAAUUGGUUUUGAUAUUUUAAUACGGACAAAUUGUAUUUAUUCGGCUGGUUUUUACCUAGGUUGUCUCGGCGACACGGACGAAGUAAAAAAAGAACAGUUAUUAUUAUUUAGUUAAUCGGUUGUCCAAACAAAAAAGUAUCACUUUGUCCAUUAUUUUUAAAAGACAAAUUAUCAACAACGUUGGUUAACAUUGAUUGGGAUAAGGGUGGAAACGAGGAGAAACGUUCAAAUGAAUUUAUUUUAUUGAUCGCUGUUUUUGAAAGAAUUGAGUCCGGGUAAUACUGGGUAAUUAAGACAAUAAUAAAGGAAGAAUAAAUUUAAAAAAUGACUAUACCAAAAAAAUUAAUUAAUUCCGAAAUUCGCAUUACAUAUAUUUUUUUUAAAAAUAAGGUUUAAUAAUUAAACAAUAUAAUCCCGACAGUUAAAGAAAAAGAAAAAUACAUAGACCAUACCCGAAUUUUAUUUUGUUGAUUCUUGACAGUUACUUUAUCGAGCGACAAUGGGAAAAACAUGCCUAUUGACUAAUAUACUAUAACCUUACAAAUUUGCCAAGCACAGCUCAAAACAGUAUUUUAAUUGAAAUUAUUUAUCGCUACUUUCAGUAUGUAAUCUAAAUCAACCUAAAUCUCACAUUCUUACAUAUGCUUAUCAAACUUAUCACCCACAAAUAUAAUAAUAUGGGUAUAGACUACUGCCUAUACCCAUGGUACGAAUUAUGUCUGGCUUUUUAAAAAUUUAUUUCUACACUGAAAAAGUUUUUAAUAUUAUACAUAUAUUAUUCGUGUACCCUCUGAGUAAGCAUACGGGCGUGAAAUUGUCCUCCUCUCGAUUUUGUUCUAUAAGUAGGAACUCUUCGUACCAAAGUCAAUAUUUAGCAACCUUUUAGAAACUAUAUGUAUAUUGCAACCGACUUGAAAAUAUUUACAAUCUGAUAGGUUCUUAUAUACUUAUCAAAUUUAUACGAGAGAAGGGAGGGGAGAAUUAAUAAUUCUCGGUUAUAUGUAUGAAGGAAUAUAGAUGUUAUUAUAGAAUGGGUAGCGGUUAUAUAGAGGUAGGUAGUAUUUCAGAAAAUAAAUUAUUUUGCACUUAAAUUUAAAAAAAAAAACUCGUACAUUUUUUUUAGCAAAACCUACUGCAAAACAAUAAUAAAAACAGCUGAUACUGGGGACGGGUGCAGCUACUGUUUUUUGUGGGUAUUUGGGAAGGUAUAGAAUACAUAUAGAGUUAUUUAAUUCAUAUCUAUACGCAAACGAAAAAUGAUUCGGAGCGAAAUUCGAUAAGACAUAUUUUGAAAUGUCGUAAUUUUACAAUUUUCAUCAAAAUAUGAUGUUAAAAAAGAAAACUAUAACGCAUUAAACACAGAUUUUGUUUUUUAGACCACUAUAAGUACAAUACUAAUAAUGUACCUUGUGUUAAAUUUUCAAGCAUUUAUCUUAAGUUAUAUAAUUCAAAAAAAGACAACUUUGGCAAAUUAAAAAAAAAUUAAAAUAAUAACGUUGAGAGCUGUGGCCAACCAAUCGAAAGAUUGAAGACCUAAAAGAACAAAGGAGAAUAAAUUAUUGUUGUCGUUGUUGUUAUUGUGAAAAAUAUAUUUAUAGUAAACAUUUAAAGACAUUUAACGUGCAAUUCAUAAUGGACACGUUGCGAUAUUCGCUAAUUUUCAGCAAGGGGCCUCGGAAAGACAAGUUUUAAUAAUUAUUCGAUUUAUUUUGGUUUUUUUAUCUUCAUUCAAAAACUGUACACGCUCGAAGUUGUGCCGGAUUACUAGUUUAUUUAUUUAUAGUGUUUGCACGUUAUGCAUUGCGUUUUACGUAGACAAUUUACUAAAUAUGAGGAUGAGAAUACGAAUUUUUAACGUGUAAUAUAGUGACGGAGUUUUGCAGCUCACGGAUGGUUUUUCCCCCUUAUUUUUUACUGAUGAAAUAUUAUAUUUCCGUAACGUCGUCGGUAUUGUAUGUAUUUCAAGUGUGAAGGUCAUUAGAUACAUCGCCAGUGAUUUAUAACGAAAAAAUACAUUUUGCAUAGUACAAAUCGCGCGGUUGAAUAUUUGAUGACUGGCUCUGCAAUAUAACUUCAAAUCGCUCGCGUAUUAUGUACAGCGCAGAUGUUUGUUUGGAGUACAUGUUAUACAUAAAGGGACGGAAAUGUAAAUUUAUUUCAGGAGAAUAAAAAACGGUUGGGCGGGAGAUAACGCGUCGAAACUCGGAAAUUUGGGCGUCGUCGGAAACGAUUUAUAUUUUAUUCGCUGGUAAAUUCGUCGUCGAUUUAUACGCUCGCGUUAACUUUUUUUUUUAUUUAAAAAACUAAGAAAAUUCCGUUGAAAUCUCCUUAAACAGCGAUAUCGCGAUACUUUAUUUUGUAUCGGGAAACUCGUCGUUUUCCGUCUCGGAAUUACAAACAAACCAAAAUCCUUGGUUUUCUCUUAUCUCGUCUAAUUUAUUUCUCUAAUGUUCUGUGGUCCUAGGAUAGAAGGGCUUAUGUCAAUUUGAACGGUUUUCAAUACAAUAAAUUAAAUUAUGCAAUCAUAUACACUUGCGUCAUUCAGAUCAAAAGGGUAAAAAAUUAUUAGAAAAAUGCUUAAUUAAUAAUUGAAGCCCUUCUUCCCUGGGAACAAACGUUUAAUGUUACGACUAAUGUGGAAAAAUUGGAAAACGUCAAAUUUCGAUCAGAAGAACUAAUUUGUGCUAAUAAUUUCAAUAUUAGAGUGAAUAUUGGUUUAUUGAACUAAAAGGUAAUGUUGUGUUUAUUCGAUAUCUUCACUUUUUAAGUAAAAUAUUAACAUUUUACACAUUUUUGUAUCUCGUUAAAAAUUAGAAUUUUUGAAAAAUAAAAAUAUUAAAACUAACAACAUGAAAUUGGUUCUACUGAACGAAAAUUUGAUUAGAUACUUUUAUAUUUUUCAGGAUUUAUUUUCGAUGAAAAUUCCGACGUUCGCUUGCGAAUGUAGGUUGUCGAACUUCUGAAUUCAGUAGCACUCGGGGUACUAACUUCUUUAGUGGUUAUCAGACCCGUAAAACUUAAGCUUACAAAUGAUAGGUAAAUUUUAAAUGUUACCAAUGGAUUAAAAUAAAUUGAAACCCUAUACACAUAACAAUUUUUCGAAAGUAUAUAAUUUAUGUAUCAAAAAAAAAAAGAAAAAGAAAAGAAAACCGAAGAUUUUUCAAGGUAUUUACAUACGAAAAUUUUAAAAGUAUGGGAAACACAAUGUAAUCUUUAUUUUCUAUUAAAUUUUCAACAUUUGCCGUAACAUAUAAUAUUGUGUACCUAUACAGACGACCGAAUACGUUAUACCUAUUGCAAAAUUUAUUAGAUUUUAUCGGCCUUUUUUUUUUUUUUUGAAAAUUUAAGAAACAAGGAGCUGUAAAAUGUUAUACUCCCAUUCUGUAUUGUCACCCUUAUUUUUGAGAGGGCGAAUCGAAUAUCUACGGCCACCUAUAUUAAAAAAAAAACCCAUAAAUAUCGAUGGAGUUUUUAGCCUAAAUACGCGACGACAUGUAGUCGUUUCACCGCCAAAAAUAAGGGCGACAAAAUAUAACGGUAUAGUGUUACCAGUGUUAGAGCCGCUUGUUUAAAAAAAACGUCAAUGAAAAAAAUAGAAUCCCGAAAAAAGUCGCUACGGGUAUAUUUCCGCGGGACACCCUGUACACUGAAAUCGAAACAAAAAACCGUGAUUCGAAUACGUCCCGCGGUAUUCGCAGCCGCGCGAUUAUAGGAGGGACCCGUAAUUUUCGAACCGCCUAAUUGGCAAAUAAAUAAUAGAGACCGUCCGGCCGGGAUCUAAUGGAUGAGUUAACUGAAUUUUGCGGACAGGUGUAGCGGACGAGCCGCGCGCUUACGGGGACGUCAGCCGCACACGCGCGGCAUUCAUUAUUAUUAUACAACGCGGAGACGGUAUUGCGAGUUGCGGUUAUUACGUGACCGCGACGAACGCCGCCGUAAGUGGUGUCGCCCCGUAAAUAUCGUCGGUUACGGCCGCGGUGCGAUAGGUUACCGGUGCCCGUUGCGGUAACGGUAUUUAUUCGCGGCGGGCGAUGAUAAUAUUAUUGUAAUAAUCGUACGGGGCCGGCGGCCCGGGCAGCUCUUGCGCCGCGUUGCGCGAUAACGAACGUCCGGGUACCGUACUGCGCACACACACACACACACACGCACACACACACGCACACGCGUUUGAGCGUUCGUACCCACCCCGCGGCCGUAGCGAACCCGGCGCCCGGGUAAACCGUUCCGCGCGUCCGCCCGCGCGACGACGGCCUCUACGGCUCUACGCGACCCCCCGACGACUCGCCGUUCGGGCCGCGCGCGCGGUGGCCCGUUUCGGCGCGACGGCGGCACACGGCUCUGCUAUUGUAUUAUUAUUAUGCCGUGUAGCGUUUUGUCCCGGCAAACUUCAACCGGUAACCGCGCCGUCGGCGUUCCCCGCGUCCAAAAACAAUAUUGCCGAUCGCGCGCGCGCAUAACAUUAUUACGAUAUUGUAAUUAUUAUACGAGUGGACGCCGAUAAAUGCGAUACGAUGACGUCCGUCAAACUUUUGUGCGGGCCAAUAUUAUACGCAAACGUCGUCGUCAUAACGGCAAUGCGUACCGUCGGCGGCGCGAUACGGACGGUGAUGAUAAUAAUAAUAAUAAUACAGACAGUAAUAACGGGCCGUGGUCGUCGUCGUCGUGUCCGAUCAAUACUCGGCACGCAGUGUCUGUGCUGUUGUAUAAUGCGUUACCGACGCGCGGCAAUCGCCGAUAACGUUUUAAUGCAACAAAAUAUAUCGCGUAGUCGUACAGCGCGCGGUGUUAUUUGUUAUUAUUAUUCGUUUCGACCCGACGCGAAAAUUAAAUCGUUUUCAGACGACGUAAUAAUAAUCGUAGUAUCGUCACGCGACGUUAAUGUAAUAACAGGCCGGGUGCGACCGCGAACCGGCGCACCGGCGACGGGUUAGCUUUUUCGGCGCCGCCGCCGCCGCCGUCCGCCGGUCAUAGCCGCGCUCGGCGAUCGAAUACGGGCGGAGGCGGGAUGGGUCGCCGCCCCUCGUUGUUGCCGUUGUUGUUAUCGUCGUCGUACGGAGGCGGCGGCGGCGACGUGUUCGGGUAUACUCACAGACGUCGUGUACGCGGUGUGCUGAACAUUUGUCAUACCUGAGGCGAAACAAAAAGAAAUUAGGACCCGCCCGAUGGAAACUCGGAUUUUCACGCGCACUACACACGCUAGUUACAGCAACAACUUUAUUAAAGGCGAUCGGAAGCGACGAGUUUGUGGCUUUUCCUAACACGCGCGAAAUACAGGGAUUUAGACGUGUUUCGUUUCCGAUUUACCGAUCGAUCUAGUAAAGCGAUAGGAAUGCUGAAAGCAGAUUUGAAUUUGUCGCGAAGUCCACUUGAAAUCGACUUUCCCACGUUUCUUGAUUGUUUGAUUCCAUUUUCUCAAUUACACAUUUAUUAGUAUGGAUUUUUUUUAGAAUUUAAGGAGAUGAAUUUAAAAAGUGGGAAAGUCGAUCUCGAGUAGACUUCGCGACAAAUUCAAAUCCGUUUCCAGAAUCCUAAUCGCUAGAUCAAUCGGUACGCUGAAAUUAAAACACGUCUAAAUUCAUAUAUCUCGCGUGUGUAAGACAAAGACAGAAACUCGUUGCUUCUAAUCCCCUUAAGCUAUAAUGACUACAUAAUAUAUAGGCUAUCAUAUUCGUAAGUAGGUAUAUUAAUAGGACGGUGUUUGUGCAAACGGGAUCAAGUCCUAUUAAGACCUUAUUAACUUAACCAUACGACCGGGGAAUACUUACAGCCACCGGCGGUUUGGACAUAGUUAUGGCCGUUUAUCGAACCAUUGAAAAUUCGAGAUAGGCGGGCGUUGGGUCGUUCAAAUGUUUACGGAAUCGGUAUGAAAUAGUCGCCCCUUUAGGCGCCUUGAAGUUAGCUCCGCCGAGUUGUGCGAUCGACUUCAAACCGACGUCAAUAUUUUGUAAUUAACACAUAAUAUUAAUUGCUAACCAACGGAGAUAUUUUUCAAAUCAGUGACGUUGGUUCAAAGUCGAUCGGGCGACUUGGCGGGUCGAACUUCAAGGUCGUGUUCCUAUACAAACUUAGAUCACGAAAUACUGUAUUUGUAUACUUUUGAGUUGUGUUUUUUAUCGUAAACAAAAUUAUAGUCGUAAAACGUUUGCAGACAUUUUUUUUUUUUGUGUUGCGUAUUAUACUUACGGGGUGUGCGUAAAUAUUAUUUUAUGCUGCUCAAAUCACCGAGUAAAAUAUCUAGCCAUUUUCCGCCUACAUCGGGACUACGCGUAAAUCGUAACUAUACACACCGGAUUUAUUCAUGCAUGCAUGAAAUGUAUACAGAUUAACGCCUAAAAACGUCAAAAAAGCCCUGAGAAAACUCUACCUAUUAUAAAUAAAAGAAAAAUAAUUUGUUUGAUCAUUCUUGGCGUAUCUUAUACGCCGGAGUCGUUAGAAGGAGUGGACUUUUAAGCCCUUCUACUAUUUUUUAUUUGUAAGUGCUUUAUCGCCGUUUUUAAGCGCUUUUUUGUGGAUUUUAAGUGCAUAUUAUUCCUAGUCCCAAGUCACAUCGCUUGCGCACACACACAAUAAUAUUAUACUGUUAUAGCGAUAUCACUCCGUGAUGUGCUCAGUGACGUAGCCAAAAGGUAUAAGCGUAUUAAGAGGUAGUUAAAUCGGGUUAGCUUUAAAGUUUCUCUUUUCUUCCUUUCCCCCCCCCCCCCCUUAUAAGAAAAUGCGUACGUAAUUAUAAUAAUUAUAAGAUAAAAUCGAGUUUAAGAAAAAUAAUGUAUGCUGAUUAUUAUUUCAAUUUCUUAUUCGCUAUAUUAAAAUAUACAAGUUUACUAAUAUUACGUAUUUUAUGUAUUUAUAUCAGAGUUUUGAGUUUACUUAUUUAUUCAUAACUUAUUAGUUUAGUAUUAUAAUUUAUACGGUUUUUAAAUUCAAUUUAUCGAAACACUUUAAACGUAGGUACUUCGCUGAGAAUUGAUUUUCAUUAGCAAUGAUUUAUUGUUUGGUACGUAUAUAAAUUAAAUUACUCUAUAUAACGUUUUCAUAUAACUUCCUCCCUACAACAAUAGCGCGCCCGUGGUGUGGAGUAUCUCGUUUUUUCUUCAACCCGUUCCAGUGGAUUGCGUGCGAAUUUUCUGCAACUCGUCGACUUUCCCCUGGAGUAUACCGAACUCGUGCCUUCCGACAGCUGUGGGAGUGUACGAAUGAGGGAGGUUGGCGGAUACCUUAUUUUGAUUUACGGGUAAUAAAUCCUUUACACACGGGCACAUCGUCCGAAAUACACGGGGAACACAUUAAAGUUCUGGUAAGCAAAUUUGUGUAUAGAAUGAACGUCACCGAGGUCCCAGUCGGCAGGCACCCGUGUACCAUAUAAUGCAAUAGCACAAAUCUAGUGCUAAUAUUUGCGGCUUAAAGAAAACCUCGCAUACCUAUAAAAAAAAAAAAAUUAUUUGAAAAUAGUCAUUCAAUUAACAACAAAAUAUUUAAUAACUUCGUGAACUGUCAAUUUGUUGGUAUCGAACACGAAACCGCCCAAUGUUCUCAGCCGGUUAAGGUGUUUUGCCGAAAAAACGACGAGAUGGUUAGUUAGGUCGGAUAUGCCCAGCCCACACAACCGUCGGGCAAAACAAUCGGUCAACAACAUUGUUUUGGUGAUCCACUAGUCCAGGGGUCGGCAACCUUUUUUGACGGAAGAGCCAAAAGUUACAAUGUACAAAAUUUUCCAGAUUUUAAAGAGCCACUAAAAAUUUUCUUAAGUAUUUAAAUAUAAUUUUAUUUUUAAAUUUUAAUAGACAUAAUAAUAAUGAAAUUAAUUAUAAUAAUAUAAUAAAUUUAUGAUAAAAAAAAAAAAAAAAAAAAAAACAGUUUUUAAUAAUAGGGGAAUACAUCAAUGGCAGCAUUGGCUUUGCAUGUCUUGGCGUGACGGCGUAUGACCAAUUAGUUGUAGAUAGCGUCGCAAUUAUAUUAGACUCUAUAAUAAACAUUUUACAACUAUAGACUGUACUCCAUGCGAGCACUGUCAAAUUAUUUUUGUGAUGUAUUAUUUCAUAUUUCCAAAAGCAACAAAAAUAAUAUACUUUUUUUUUAUAUUAUAAAAUAUUGUUUUUGAACUAAAAUAUUAAUUAUUGUGUGUGCAGCUGGAGAGCCGCAACUUUAGACCGAAAGAGCCGCAGGUUGCCGACCCCUGCACUAGUCCAUAGAAAAUGGCCGAUUGAUAGAUAAUCUAUUAUUACCGUAAUGUUGGCCGCAAGGAACGAUACGGUGAUUUUACGUAUACCCGGGUACGCAAUACAAAAUUCUUUUACAGUCGGAGGCCAAAAACCCAAAUUUGACCCAACUUGGGUUCCAAACAUUAAUCACAUUUUUGGCCACUUUGGAAAAAUAUUUUUUUACUGUUGCAAGAUUGGCAUAGUGAGAUUCGUCGUAAAUUAGAACACAAUAAUCAAUUACAAAAAUCACAAAACAUUUAAUUAAAAAAGAAUAAGAAUGUAUACAAAUUUAACUUACCAAGUACCGCCCGAAUCGCAUAUGAGCCCGAAACCUUGCCCCUAAAAAUGUGGGCUGCCUCGUCAUAUCCUUGUAAAUGGGUAAUUUUACGGGUGGUCAUGUUUUAAUCCAUGGCCGCCUAUAAAAUGGCAAUACCUAUGCAACAAAAAAAGCCUAUAAAACGAAAUGGCAGAACCAAUUACUGGACUGCCAUGCAAAAAGUGGACCAGUCCUCUCUAUAAACAUUCAAAGUAGCGUCGUCAAUUUCUGACUGAAAAACGUAUUUUUCUAUCUUGUUUUUAUUUAUUACGUUAACGCGUGUUCCUUAGUCAUUUAGAAUCUAAUUUCGUUGAGAGAUUGGUGUUUUUGGCCAUUUAUCAUAAAUGCAAUCGAUUCGUAUUUUCUUAUGUUUUUAAAUCUUCUUUAUUAACUAAAAUACACUAAAAUAACAAUGUUUCUAAAAUGAAAUUUCACUAGAGGUACUUUAGUGAGGUAAUUUUUUAAUUUUCCCAAGAGUUUUCCCAGAAAAUGUGAAAAAUCGGGAUAAAACAUUGGAAAACCGGGAAAAACGUAGAAAAACUGGGAAAACCGGUACAACAUUAAACAAAUAUUAUUAAAGAAAAUAUAUAAAGCUUAUUUAAUUAUUUUACUAUAAAAUGACAUAUAUUGAUGAUAAAGCAUCACUAUCAACUGAACUCCGUUCAGAAUCCUUUUUUUCAUAAGAAAUUGUUUAUCGUUGCUUAUAGGUACACAUUAAAUUAUCUAUAAAUGUGGCUGCACCUUUCCUCGUUAUCCUAUGACGUCUUUUUGUGAACACUUUUUUUACCAGAAAACUUACUCCGAUGUAUGUAUUGUAGACCUUUUUAUGAAAGGAAAAUGUCUUGGGGUGGUACUUUAGGAAGAUUAUUUUUCGAUUUUCCCGGCAGUUUUGCCAGUAAAAGGGAAAAAGUAAGAAAAAACAGGAAAAUAUACGAAAUAUUUCUUGUUAUCAUUAACAAAUAUUCAUAUCCUUCCUCUCCACGACAAAAAGUCUUAGUUAAGCGGUUUAAAUGCGGAUUCGUGCGAUUGAAAGGUUAACACGCGUGAGACCGUAUACAAUGUAUACGUAUGCUAUGUAUACUAUACAUAUAUUAUAGUGUAACGCGGAUUCGCGAAUCACCGGAAUGCAAUUAUGAAACGUCAUGUCGUAUUUUUUUUUUUCCUAGGGUCGUUCGGCAUGCUGUUACGAUUUAACUGUGCCACGGGUCAUAUACCGACGACAACAAUAAUUAUAACAAUGGGUAUUAUGACGUAUAUAUAUACCUGCAUGUUGAAAUCUGGUGGCCGUCGAAAAUCCGUCGACGUUAUUAUAUCCGGUAAAUAUUACGAUCACAAUAAUAAUAAUAAUAAUGAUAGGUACGUUUCCAGUCUUGUCGAGAUUGGUAUUAUUGCGAUAUUAUGCAUAUCGGUUAGUAUGCAUUGCGUAAACGAUUCGGCACCGGAUAUCAUAAUAAUAUUCGGCUGACCGUCAAUCGUCCCGGGGCAUUAACGAGUUAAUGGGCACUCGCGAGUAGAGGCCACGCCAGUUUUAAUCGCGUAAGGCCGGAUUUUCGUUGUUUAUCCUGACAAUUUCGUAGUCGAUAGAAAAAUAAAAACGAAAAUGAAAAACAAAAAUUAUAUUUGAACUGCCGUUCUCGCGGGAAAAUAUUAUACUAUACUACUAUAUACUUACAACAGCGGCUGCUCCCGUUUCCUAAUGUAAUUUUGUUUUUUUAUAAUUCUUGUUUUUGAUCCGAUGAAGACGUUUUAUUUUAUUAAUUUUUUUUAUUAGAGGAAAUUCCACAAAUUCGGAAGUCAAUCGAGGAAUGACGUUGAUUAUUUUUGUGUUGUAAGUGGGUUUAUUUAUCAUAAAAUUAAAUUUGAUUGCUACUUAUGGGAUAGGUAUAGGUGGGUCCGGGUCUCGUAUUUUCGAAAAGCCAGUAUACCUUCUGUCUUUAUUACAGUAUUUGGUUUUAAUAGGCACCUUUUUACCAAUGACUAUAGAACUUAGGGAUAUAAUGGGAAAAUUUUCAGCUAUCACCAAUAAUAAUUGAAUCAAUAAUAUCAUUUACGAGAUUGGAAUUGUGAGAAAUUCUAUGAUUUUGUUAUCUGAGUUGAUGUGGAAUGUUGUAAAAUAAUAGAUUAGACGCUCGAAAUGUAUGGAAUAUUGCGCUUGGACAUUAAGCUCUUCGGAACAAUGAUAAUCAUUUUUAUUAUUUUCCUUUUGAUUAUUAAAUUCAGAUUAGCAAACGAUUUAUUAAUAUGUUCAACUUUAGAAUAUCGCCAUUGUUGCAGAAUUUACGUCACUGAUUUUGAUAUUAGAUUACUAAUAUUUUUUAUAGUUUUAAGUCAAUGGGGGAGGGGAUAUAACCCCUAACUUCCUUUCCUCUGCGUAUGCCACUGUACACUGUACAUAAUAUGUAUUUAAUAAAACGCAUUUUUGUACUUGGUGUACAUUAUUCGUUUUCUACAGCUUCUCGAAUAUUUUGUAUGACACACUAAACUGCAGUCAUUAUAAUAUUAACGGUCGAAUCAAGUUCAGCAAAUUUUAUCAUUAAGAACUAAAAAUUCUUCUCUUCUACAAAUUAUUGUACUGCAUUAAAACUGCAUUAGUAACUUGCAUUAAAAGUCAUUGUAGUUAUUAACAUCUUUAAUUGCUAUAUGAGCUUCAAUAAUCUUCAGUGCAAUUUUUGAUUGUACUUUAUCUGAUUUAUUUUUAUUUUUAUUAUUUACGACUUGUAACAUACAGACUCGUGGACAGUGGUAACCAAAAUGUUUUUUUUCGUUUACGAUGUGUAAUAUUACUUUGGGCGAAAACCAAAUCAUUAUUUUUUGAGUUUGGGUAAAAAAAGGUCAUUUGGAUGAAAACAGGUCCUCCCUUUAAUACACAUAAAUUAUAAAUGACGACAGAAAAGUUAAUGCAUUAUAACAUUUAGCCAAAUUAAAUGAAUCACGGGGAAAAAUCCGGGGACAAAAGUCCGUUUUAAAAAAGGUUUGAUAAAAAGUCCAGAUUCAGAUUUUAUUGUCGGACAAAAGUCCGAAAAUACAAAAAAUUCUAUUAAAUUUUCAUUUAUAAUUAUACAAUUUAUUGUAUAAUAAAUAAUUUAAUUAUACGGGUUAUAUAGGUAUAUAAUAAUAUAUAAUUAAUAUUAAUUUUGAAAACUGUUGUACAUAUAUAAUAUAUAUUAUAUUAUACUUUUUUUUAACCCGUGUUUUUUUUCCUGUUUUCUUAUUCUUAUUAUUUCGUAUAGCUAACAAAAAUAUAACGGAACUCCACUUUAGUUAGGUAGGUAGGUACCUACCUAUAUAUAUAUAUCAUAUAUAUAUAUAUAUGAUACAUGCGAUUAUCAAUAUUAUUAGCACGAUCAUUAUUUAUGUUGACCAUUUUUAUUUAAAUUUAUGUUAAACGAUUUUUGAAAAAUUGUUUACUAUUAUAUAUUUAUUGUAUAUACUAUAUUGUAUAUAGUAUAUACUAUAUUGUAUAUAGUAUAUACCUAUAUAAUUAUAAAUAACAAUUUAAUAAAAUAUUUCAUAUUUUCCAAUGUUGUCCGACAAUAAAAACCGAAUCCGGACUUUUAGACCGAUUACCAAACUAAAUACCGAAGAUAUUUAAGUUACUGUUAACACGGGGGCUAAUAUUAAUUGUUGACAGUUAAUAUUACUAAGAGCUAACUAUGAGUAUUUCCCAUAAAUAUAAAUUAUCCGGAUCAAAAAAACUCCUCUAAAAUGAUUAGGCACAACGAAUACAGAAUUAGAUUUAGGCAAUCACAACUGCCUGUGAUUUACGAAAUCUAAGUAACACAAUUAUUUUAGUGAACGAAUUCAUGAUGAAAAAUAAUGCCAAAAUACAUUUUUUUAAUUAAACUUUUCCCCUCAACAAGAAUAUAAAAACUAAAAUUAUGAACAAAAAACUGCCACAAAAUACGAAAAUGAAUAAAUACAACACGACUGCUUAAAAGAAUUUUUGAAAAAAAUAUUUGUAUAGAUGCGUCAAAAAUAUUGUAAUGUUAUAUAAUGUUCACACAACAUAACAAUAAUAUAUACAAUUAUUUGCAUUUAUAACAAUGCGACUAAAAGAUUCAAAUGCGGCCAAGUAUUGUUAUUGAUAACGAUUUAAUUUAAUAAAACGUUUGUUGUUCGAGUGUGAUACAUAUUAUACUAUAUUCCUAUCACAAUCGAAAUAUUUUAAAAUGGUCAAACAUAGUAGUGAUUUACGACGUUUGCGUCAGCUUUUUGAGGACACCGCCGCGUCGCCAUCACCAUUCGGUAAUAAUCUUACGAUAUUUCUGCACUAAAUUUAAUUUCAUUAUUAGUCAAUUUUUUAUCGAAACCGACGCGAUGACCAACGGACCCCAUUCAACUCACGAACAAUAACGGUUUUUUUUCCAUUGUUCGGGAGGGAUCUGUCAUGUUACACGCGUUAUUACUACUUCCAAUUGAAAUAUUUCAACACGAGUCAAAUAAAAAUACGACAUUGGUCAGCCCUUUUACGACACCGCCGUCGAAAUCACAGUCCCACACGAAAUACGCCCUUAUAAUUAUUUCUGUACAAAAUUCAAAUCAAUACAACACUGGACCUGACCUUUUGCCUUUUGAAACGAUUAAAAUAUAAUGGUUUUUUUUUUCAUAUAAAUCUCGAGCGCCUCGACCGCUCGACAAAUCCCAAGACGAUCGCUCUUUAGAGAAUCCCGCACACAACAAUUACGCAUCGUCAACAAAAUAGCUGGUCGGGCCGUUAUUUAUUCAUUUUUUUGUGAUAUUAAAAUAUAUUCAAGAGCUCAUUGCAUAUCAGCUGACUUAUGGCAUACACCUUUAUCCAAAGAGAUAUUAAAAAUUUAUGGAGACCAUAUUAUACAUAAGGGGCCAUAAUAUAGCCGAACCGUAUUUUAACCGAAAAUAUUUCAACCGACCGUAAUAAGCCGAAUAUAAAAUUAACAGAAAAUAUUUCCGCCGACAGUAUUUUGGCCGAAAAUAAAACAAACGAACGUAUUUCAGCCGAAUUGACCGAAACUAUUAAUUAUUAACUUGUAAAUUUCUUGUCAUUGUUUUUAUCAGAAAAUAUUGAAUUAGAAAGCUUGGAAUUUUAAAUGAUAUUUCGAACAAAAGUUGAAAAAUUUGAAAGAAUAUACAAAUUUUUGAGUUAUAAUUCCGACACGAUUUUGAACAAAUAAAAAAAAAAAUUAAACGACAUUUUGAAAAUUGUCUAUGAUAAAAAUAUAUAUUAUUUAAUUAAUUAAUUUUAAAUUAUUAUUAUUUUUAAUUUCAACCAUUUGUAAGCAUUUAAAUUAUUCAGGUGUGGAUAAACAUCCACAUGUUGGAUUUAAUAUCAAAACCAGUGGCGCUGAAGCAGUAUUAAAAUAGUCGGGCAAACUUUCCAAAAUAGGUAAUACAAACCACCAACCACCUAAACAAUAUUUUCAGGAACUCAUGGGUGACUUUGCUACCCAUACUCUCUCCCUCGCCCUGCAUUGAUUUUCUUCUAUUUACAACAACACCCAUUUUUUAUAUAUUUUUCUUACAAUUUAUUUGUACAAUUUCAAUACGUUAUACUAUACAAAUUAACAAAAUACAUAAGUCGUACUAUGGUAAUAUAAUAUAAGUUAAUAAUAAUUUAUAAUAUUAUUUAACAAAUUAAUAUAAUUAAUAGCACAAUAAUAAAAUAUACCUAGUACAGUAAAAAUAAAAUGAUUAAAACAAAUCCAAAAAAGACGGAUAUACUUUGCAUGUGGGUGGGUCACUGUUGUAGGUAAGAAGUUGAGAAGGUAAUAGAGGGGAAAUUUAAUGUAUAUUUGUACGCAAUGAUUAACCAUUGCUAACGAAAAACGAUUCUGAGCAGAGUUUGGUCAAUAGUGUUACUUUUUUAACAAUAUAUUUGUCACAUUAUGAUAAAAUACUAACAUAUUAUGCAUUAUAUUAUACUUGUUUAAUAUUGUGUUUAUUUUCCAUUUUUUCCCAUUUAUUAGGAAAACUUUUUCAAAAUUUUGGGAAAAUCAAUAAAUUACUUCCUAAAGUACCACUCCAGUCAGAUUUCUUUUAGGAAAAAAUGCUAUUAAUAUAAUACUUACGGAAUACUAAUGUAUACCUACUAUGUAAAAAGUUAAAAUAGGUACUUAUAUAAUUAUCUACUUUUUUAAUUAUUUUCUAAUCUUGAACGUUUAUUUUUGAACAAUUUCCUUAGUUUUUAUAAUUUAUACAGUUUAUUCAUUUUUCACGGUCGUAAUUUAUGUUAUAGCUCUAAUGUGAGAAUAUCCUAAUGAGUAAUGACUUAGUACCACGAUAUUGAUGACAUUUUAUCUGCAUCGUGAUUGGUACUUACUGUCAUUGAUUAUAAAUCAAUAGGUAAUCAAUAGUAAUACCUAGGAUAAUUAUUGUACAAAUUAAAUUUGCGUGGGUUAUAUUUGACUAAUUACUACAGAAUUUUAAUUAUGUAUAAUUUGAUAAAAUAUAUGAUCGUCUAAACCAUUUUUCAAACAAAUUUUCAAAUUUUGCUGUGAAUAAAUCUUUAAAUAACUUGAUAGUCAUUAAUCUUUCCGCCAACGACCAUACCACGUUGAAUACACCAGUUCUCGUCCGAUCACUGAAGUUAAGCAACGUCGGGCGUAGUUAGUACUUGGAUGGGUGACCGCUUGGGAACACUACGUGCCGUUGGCAUUUUUUUGCCUAUUUUUUUCUCUAUUAAUUCUUUCCAUUUUUUCUCCGACAAAAGUGAAAACCACAUAGUAUCUACCAAAUAAAAAUUACGUAAAACUCAUAAGGUAUUUGUCAUAAGUCAUCUUUCAAAAUUUCAAGUUUUUAAGAAUAUUUUUAACGGAAAAACAACAAAAGAACAAAAUUGAAAAUUAUAAAUAUUUAAAUAAAAGUAUUAUUUUCGUAAAUUUUCCCGUUCUUUUUACGUUUUUUUCCUAAUAAUUAAAAAAAACUACAGAGAAAAUCUAACCUACUCAUCAACAAAAUUAAAAAUGUAACAAAAAAAAAGAUCUCUUGUCAUUUUUCUAUUAGAGUCAAUAUUUCUUGACUUAACUUAGACUUGGCCAUACCAAAAUCCAUAACACAUAAUAACCUAUAUAAUAAAAAACAAUUAGAUAAUUUACAAAACAUAUUAUUAUAACCGUAAGAAAUUGACGCAGCACAAAAGCAAUAUAAUCAAAUAAACGAUUGGAUUCAACAUUGUGGAUCAAGGACUCAUAGAAUUAGAGCCAUAUAGACGAAGGCGUCAUAGAACGUCUGGUUGAAGAGAAACUCACUAAAAUGUGGGACUGGUUCGUAGGUUUUGGAUAUCAGUCCUACUUGCCACUUGUCAUAUUUCGCGUUCGGAAAUUAUUAACUAUGUACGUCUAAAUUCAAUAUUAAAUAUGUCCAUACUAUAUCAAACUUUUGGAUAAAGCUUUAUCCAAAGAUCUAAGAUCUAAGGUUUUAGCUGGUAUAUUUUUUGGUUUAACGCAAUGUGUUAUGCACAAAGCGCACAAUAAAAAACAAAUAUAUGAAAUUCAAACCGAAAUAAAAUUUACCAACCACAGUCCGAAAUUCAUCAUUUGAUGAUACCAAUCCAAAUAUACCAAUCCGAACUUCGUAAAAUAUACCCAUCAUUAUUAAAUUUAUAUCGUCCUUCGAAUAAUAUGUAUAACAACGAAUAAAAAAGCAACAAUGUUACCAUGUAUACCAAUGGUAUACACAGAAAUCGAACACAACAAAAACAUUUUUUAGUAACAAUACGAAACAUCAACCAAUUUACCGAUCAUACACACACAGAAGCGUACAAUAUGGCGAAUUCCGUCAAUAAAACACAUUUUAUGCACGUAGUGUUAUUUAUCGAACUUUACCUACCCGUACCCGAUUGACUAUUAUUAAAAACCGACCCAUACUAUCGUAACAUUCCGUACUUACACCUAUACUGACGUAAACCUAUAUAAACACGGCGUGCCUGCAUAUUUUAUAUACACAAAUAAGUGCUAAGGUAUAUAUAGGUAUAUACCUAAAUUCACGGAAAUAAAUCCCUCGAGCAUUUGUCACUAACACUCCUAUAGUUUGAAGCGAUAGCUAUCGUACAAGUCGUUUUAUCAAACAAAAUUGUCACAAAUACCUCAUAGAAAUCUGUGAAUUUAUUGUCUGAAUUUUCCAAUAACUGCAUGAAAAACGCGUAACGUCAGUAUAACAGAACAAUUUACGAACUAAAAAUUCGACCCGCGCAAACAAUAAAAAUUAAAUUUCGCUACAAUACAUCUCUACAAUCCAUGUUACAAAUCUCGUAAUUCAUUGUGUAUGUCAAUUUGAUAUACAGCUUUUUGACAUAGAAUUUGAACAAUCUGUAAUUUAAAUUUCAUUAUUGGUGUAAGCAUAUUGACUAAAUUGUUUAUUUUUGUUAAUAUAAAUUAUUGAAGCUAUUUUGGAGACCUGCAUUUUUGAAAAUUGUUGGUAUUUACAGAUUUAAUAGAGUUAACCUUUAUAAUGUCGGCGCGUGAUCCCGUGGCCUGUGUUGACGCAUAAUGAAAUCCGCGCGGUCACUGCCAUUCAUACAGAUAAUGCGUCGUUUUAAUACUAUAUUAAUAAUAAUACGAACACCAAUACAACAUAAACGCGUACUUAGAUAUGUAGGUAUUGUAGAUAUACGAAUCGACAAUACACACACAAACACUCACACAGAUAUACAAAUAUAUGUAGGUACAUUGUACAUACAUUACAUACCCUCGUGUUUAAAAACAUACCUACCCUUUUACUUUCAUUCGUUUUUCCUUUCAUUCUACUACCUUAUCCUGCUACUACCCCUUCCUUUAUUUUCUCUUUUUUGUUACAACAUUGUACAACAAAAAAUUAUCCAUUUAUUAUAAACCAUCAAACAAUACUAACAAGAAAAACAGUGUGUCGAAUGCAUACAAUCAUUUGUUUUGCAAACUUUUUCUCUAUUUAUGUAAAACCGUGCAGACUCGUUAUCAAAAAAUUCCGAAUGCAGUUUAAAAUACAAUUUUUAAUUUUUUUCUUUCUUGUAUGCCAAUCAUGGAAACGUGAUCACUUUAAAAACUUAAAUGCAAUUAAUUGUAAUACAGGGUCCGACAAAAGAACCUCCUGUAUUUCAAAAGGCAGUUACAAAUAAACAAACAUAGGUAGGUACAAAAAAAAUGAUUCCAUUUUUGAAUUACAAAUACUAUUUUACAUUAUAUAAAAUAAUUACUUCGUUUUAAACAUUAUGCCUGUUAAAUGGCGUCUUUCAUUAUUGAUACAUUGACGAAGCUUUUCCCGAAAGUUGUCCCUAUUUGUUCGUAUCAUUUCCGGUGUAAUGGCAUCCACUGGCCUGGGUGAAUGCCUUCUUAAGUGUUUGCAGGAUUGUACGACUAUGACUGUAAACUAGCGCCUUUAAAUAUUCCCAGAGAAAAUAAUUACAAGGUGAUAAAUCGGGUGACUUCGGACCCAGGUGAUGUCUCUUAGCAAAGACAGACGUCCAGCAAACAACUCUCUCAAAAUUGCUAGUGAAUGCCAUGAAGUGUAAUACCGUCUUGUUGGAACCAGACUUCUCGCUCUUCGUGGCAGUGGCGUAGCGAAUUCAAAUAUUUUCAAAGGCGAAAUAUAUUUUUCGAUACCCAUCAACCCACCUAUCCAUAGGUACAUGACCCACACAUCGAUUAUUAUUUUUGAACAUUGAACACUGGGUUUUUAUCUUUUUCAAAAAAUGCCCUAUAAAAAAGCAUUUAUGGGAGUGGAAGAUUGCCUCUUGCAUUUAAUUUUAAACCAUAGAGAUAAUUAUAAGAUAAAUUCAAAUAACACGAAAUGUGACAUUAUUUUUUAAAAGAUUACUGUUUCUUUAAUAGGGUUCAGUUGUACAAUAAUUAAAAUAUCAAUUACCAUAAAUUCUGCAUUAAGAGAUCUGAAGACUGCGAACAUGUCAAUUGCUUUAUUACGAUAAAUUUCAACAUUUUUUUCAGAGCUAAUAUAAGUAGACUUUCGGUAAAUAGGGUGGUUCCUAUAGUUCACGGCGCGAAACGGAACAACAAAAGAAGAGUUGGACCUAGUGGGAUUUGUUGGGACCUUAAAAUUAAUUUGAGAAAAGAGAGCUGAAGCAUCCACACGUCCGUCAAUGACGGAUGCUGCUUAUGCAAAAACAUCAAAUUAGCUUCCACUCUUUUAUUUGAUAGAGAUAUAAGAUAGUGCUUAUUGAUUACUGGACCAUAAUUGUGUGGAGGGUGGGGAAUUUUUUAAAUGAAAGCUACAGAAGAGCUAAAACAUCAAUAUAAUAUAUAAUAAUAUUAUUACAUUGGUAUACAAAUAUACGGUUUAUCUACAUAAAUUGUAUUUUUCCAUACAUUUUUUAUUUUGUUUAAUUUAUCUAUAAUAAAUCAACAACAUAAGAAUAAUCUAUAAAAAUCGUUCGUUAAAUAAAACGAUAUUUUUCGUAAUUAUAUAGCACUCGCCGUUUAUAAUCUAUCGUUCACCCCUUAAAAAAAAGGUGUGACCGCUGUUAUAGCGUAUUCGGCGCCACUAAUAAAAUAUAUUAUAUUACACAAUAAUGAUGUUGUCGAACAUUAUUGUUUUUAUUAUUUCGCUUCCUGCUACGAUGACAUCGUUACAACAUUAUUUUAAUGGUUGUAUUACUUUUCGCUACGAUAAAAAAAAAGCUCUUCCCCAUGAACAGCUGAGUUCUUCAUUACUAGAAAGUCUAAUUUGAUUUUUUGUGUGUAUUUAAAAAUUAUUCUUCGAUUAAAACAGUAGCCCGCGCUAACAAAUAUCGUCUCACUACGAUUUGUAACAGUAUAGGUACCCUCGGCGAAUCUCAAUACAGAUCUUACAGAUUUCAAGCGAAGCGAGGAAUACAUUAUUCUUUUAUCCCAGAGAAGAAGAGUUAAUUUUCGGAAUUUUGUUUUACGAUUUUUCUUAAAUCACUGUGAAUUUGUGAUGUACUUUUCCUUUGGUAAAAAAGGCCUAAGCCAUGUUAUUAUAUGAUUUAAGGCAUUUUGUAAUUUAGAAAUUUAGCUAUUAUGUUGUUUUUUAUAUUACUAAUAUUUUUGAAAUUGAAUUCGAAUUGUUAUUUUUCUUGUCUGUAAACAACUUUGUUUUUAUCCGAAAUCUUGCUUCAAUUAUUAACAUUAAUGCCCGUAUGCAUAGUCCCGAUCUUAUGUGUUACAUUGCUUAUCGUUGCUUAUGCUGCAUCGUUGCUUAAAUGACCCAUAGCUGAUUGGCCCAUAACCUAUUUAUUUAUUUUUUAAACGGACCUUCCAUAUUUCCAAGAUAUCAUCUAGGUAUAUUGUCAUCUAUAUAAAUUUCAAUUUUCAAAGUUAAUUUUUUGUAGUUUUCUCAAUAAUUGAGAAAAACCGAGAAAACGUCAGAAAAACGAGACUAUUUACGCAAUAACGGUUUCGUUAGUUAGGAUUUUUUUAUUGUUGUAAUUUUGUGAAGAAUAAUCGUAGUGAUUUUUUCCAGCGUUUUUCUAGUUAUUAAUAUAACUAAUUCAAAAUAUAAAAACAUGUGUUAGUAAUGCGAGUUAUGCAAUAUGCGCGUAAAAAUGGUUGGUACGUUUUACACGAACAAUUAAUAGUUGCGGUUAUUAUUAUAUUAUUCCGCGGUCACAAAAUAUUAAUAUGCGAUCGCGUUCAGUUCAAACCGAUCGAAUACCGGCUGCGUCUAGGGCACACCUUUGGCGACGUUUCGCGCGUUCGCUGCGGAUAUUUCGAGAAUCCGACCAGGACCGCGCACUAUAUAAUUUUGUACGCGGAUAAAUAUUUUGGCGGCAUUUUACGACGUGUGGGUUUUUUGCGGUCACGACGACGCGGUUAAACGUAAUGAAUAUGCCCUCGUUUUAGUACGGCCGAAACGGCGGCGGAGAUUUAUAACGAGAUUGUGCCGUUACGUUCUCAAGAAUGACACCCCGAGUAGGUAGGUAUAUAAUAUACACAUCCGCGGGUUUUAUGCGUGCGCGAACCCUCCGGAACCUCGAAGACACUAUAUAUACACACACUUAGGUACCCCGGUGAAAUUUAUUAUGUUUUUCCGCGCGAAAACGGUCGGCGGCGCCUGGAAGGUCCGCGCAGCCGUUGGGUCGUCCCGGUGAAUUAUUAUUAUUAUUAUUGCGUUGCGGGACGUCGGUGGCGGCGGCGGCGGCGUCGUGGCGGUGAAGACGACAGGCGUUUUCGGCAUUUCACGUAUUUAUUGCGGGAUCCGACGGGAAAAACUCGUACUCGCGCUAUCAUAAUAUAUACGUUUUCUUGUCUCCUGCACAGUGGAGUGCGGUCCAGGAGGGAAACGUCGAGUUUGGAAAUUGUGUGUAAUAGAAAAAAAAAAAAGGAUCAAUUUUAGAUUCUCGGCGGAGCGAGGAACCUAUUGGUUUUACGACGACAUGUUUAUUAAUUUUCUUUUUCCGUGAACAACUUUUAUACCAGAUAUUUUGAUCCGAUUUUCAAAGCUGCGUGUCGCUGUCGUCCCCGGGUCAGAAGUACUACUCGAAACCGGUACAAAAAUUUGUUAUGUAAUUUGUACAAAUUUGUAACAUUAACCCAGAAAUGUUUACAACCCACCUAAUAGUUGAAAAACGUGUUUUUUGUCACGAACACCAGCGACACGUGUCGCCAGCGUCCGUAUUUCUUACGUUUUUGUCGUAGAGAUUCGAAACCGGUACCAAAAUUUGUUAUAUGAUUUGUACAAAUUUGUAACUGCAACCCUGAAAUUUGAACAACUCUCUCCUCUCAAGUGUGAUCAAAUCAAGUUUUGGUUUGACUAGACGCGAUAAAUUUGAUGUUAUGUACGUCUAUAAGUAUCUAAUAUAAUAUAGCUUAUGUGUUCUCAAUUCUGUGUAUCAGUGUUGAAAAAAAAAAAUUUUUUUUUUUAUUAUUAAUAUGAUAUCAUGGAUUAUAAAAGUAAUUAUUUCUUUUCUAUUAAGUAUCUAUUUAUUAAUUAUUAUUUAUUUUCCGCAUUUCUUAGUUUAUUUCGUAGAGACUCGAAACCGGUACCAAAAGAAGAGCGUUUGUGAAGUGCAUUUGUUCUUUGGAAAAUUUCUCAAUAGUUUUUAAGACAUUUAAAUCCGGACUCUAGUAAUUAUUAUAAGUUUAUUUACUGUUCACAUAUUAAUCUCGUAAAAUAAAAUAUCGUCUUGGCGAUGCCGCUCACCAGUACUUUUUAUUGUAUUUCCUUUUAUAUUCUGAGUGGAAUGCAGAAUUUAAUGGUUUUAUAAUGAUGUUUAUUUUUUUGCUUACAACUUUUCUACCAGAAAUUUUGUUCCGAUUUUCAAGUAUAGUACUUUUUCUGAAAAUAAAUCUGAUUGUACUGAUGGUACUUUAUAAAGGUCAUUUUUUAAUUUUCUCAGGGGUUUUCAUAAUAAACGGGAAAAUUUACGUAAUGUAUUAUUUUCAAAUCGUAAAUAUGACGGUCUUUUAAAACAAUGUAACCGAAUCUCUCUCAGAAUCGUUUUUCGUCAACAAUGAUUAAUCGUUGUGUAUACAGAUAUACAUUAAAGGCUGCAGUGUAGAACACCGUUAAAUAUGGGGGAGGGGGGGUUGGCGCAACAAAAUCAAUUUUUUUCAAACUUGUAUCUCUACAAAUCAGUCACCAGAAUAGCCAGAUCUUUUUUGUGGAGUAUUUUUGAGGAUUCGAUGGCUGAUUGGAUUAAAAAAAAAACAAGACAUCACCAAAUCAAUCAAUUAUCAGGCCCUGUAACUAAGAAAUAAUGGCUUGUUUUAUAUACAAUUUUAAAAUUUAUCGUAUUCGGUAAAAUUUCACGGCAUUCGUCGUCGGAACCGAACGGAAUUUUAAACUCGUUAGAACGGUUAUAUUCGUGCGUGUUUCGACGUCUAUAAUAUUAUACGCACGUAAACCAAACGCAAGUAAUUGCCGAAUACUAUGUAUUUACUGCGAAUAUUUUUUUAUUUAUUUAAAUUUUUUAUUUUCGAUUCAAAUACAUUUUAUCACGGUGUUUUUUUUUUGGUAUACGAUAUAAAAUACAAAAGCAGAUGAACGAAUUCGCGGCCUGACAACAAACGAUAAUAAUAUUUACGCGGAUAUUUUUACACCGGAUGUAUUCGCAUACCGUUUGGUCGAUCGCGAACCGCACGAAUUCUUCUGGGAUACCGAAAACGAGGUUAUAUAGGUACAGGUAGAUAGGUAUAUAAAGCACAAAAACGGACGGACAUUAUUACGAUUUAUACGUUCCGUUCGCCGUCGUAAUAUCAUGGUAUAAAACUAAAAAAAAUAAAACGAUAACCGCUGUUUAUUCCGUAUUCGACAGUGAUGCCUGAGUGUUUUUUUUUUUUUAUUUCGUUUUCUUAAAACCGUUCAUGCAGUGCCUCUAUAAUAUAUAUUAUAUAUACAUCCUCGUAUAUACAUGCGUAUAAAACGGAAACGAACCGGGAAAUUCAAUUACCUUCCCGUCGUCGUCGGGAAACAGGUGCGGACGUAUUUUCUCACCGUGGCGUGCGCACAUCAUAUAUUAUAUAGGUACCCUACCUAUACAUACGUAAUCCGGUAAAGAAAUUUAUUUGUUUCCUCGGCGAAAACUACGAGCCAAUUUACGGGUUAACAUAUGUAAAAAGGCUUUCGUUACCCAUAUAUAAUGUACACUCGUAUAUAUUGUUACUGUGCUGCGAAUUCCCAAGAUCGUGUUCACCGAAUACAUGUUAUUGCGUAAAACGGGCGCGAUACUGUAUGCGUUGAUUCGAUAAUGACGUCGCUGCAGGUCCUCUCUACAAAAGUCUCUGAAAAAUCCCGUCGCCCGGAGAUUUCAUCGGGAGUUAUGCUGUUUUAAUUCGCACCGAAAUAACCAUAGUAUACGUCAUGGGCGCUCUCACGAGAGGUGUGAUGGGGGGAUGGGUCCCCGUAUGGACUUUUUUUUUUUAGGUAAUAUGGAGUUUCCUGUUUUACUGAUAUUAAAUGACAAUAAUCAAAUAAUUAAAUAUAAUCCAUACAAUUUUUUUUGACUCGUUAUCAUUUUCCACGAUAUUCGUACAUAGAUUACAGACCACGCAUGAUUACAGACUGACAUAUUGUUGACACUAUCUGUGAUUAAAGAUUAAUAUAAUUUUGUAAAUUCAACAUUUUAAUCAAACAUAUAAUGUGUUAUAAUUUAAUGUAAGUUGUUUUUAUAUAAGAAAGAUUACUUUUUAAUCAAUUUUCAUACCAACCCCCCAAUAAAAAUAUCCUGAAAACAUCUCUUAUGGAAUAAUUAUAUCGUGUAACUUGCAAAGCGGUCAAACAUAGCGUUUGUAAUUUGCAUCGAAACCGCUAUCUGUAUUACACAUGAUGAUUAUCAUUGAGUAUUCAGUUAUUUCGACGGUAUCAAUAAUGCGUGUGUAUUAUUUCCGAUUUAUCCAUCAUAUACUCGGAAUCAAUGUGACCUCGAUUUGAAUGUUUUAAAUAUAAUUGUAUACAUAUAGUAUUUAAUUUUUUAAUUUUUGAGAAAUUUAAUUAACGCGUUAAUUGAAUGUUCACGAAUUCGCUCAUUCCCUGUUAAACAAAUACUACAAUUUUUUAAGCGCGCCUGUUAAAUGUGCAAAUCAAAAAUUGUCUAAAAAUUAAAAACAAAAUAAAUGUCUUAUUCGCUUGUAGAAAUGCGCGAUACGGAAUUUUAACAAAAUGAGCGCCGUACAGCGAGCUUAUUAUAAGUGCCGUUGAAAAACGGUUAUCUUAUAAUUUUUAUACAAUAUACGAGCGCCGCACAUUUUUGAAAACGUUUAACAACGAUGCCGGCCGUGAAAUAUUGAAAAAUUCGUAACGUAUAAAGAAGCAAGUAAAUUAUUAUUCGAUGUGAAAAAAACGAAAAACGAACACAAUAGGUAGGCGCAUAUUAUUAUACAAGUACGAGCGAAUUACACCGAACACAAUAUUAGUUAUAUUGCUCGUUCUUAUAUUAUUAUACCGUAACGAGGCUGCGCUUAUUUACGUUUAAAGUCAAAGAGGAAUAAUUUAUUAUAAUCUCAACGUCGCUGCCGGUCGCUGUGUGAAGAAAACAUAAACGCGCAGUUAAAACCGUGGAAAACAAUUAUAUAUAUAUGUAUAUAUAUAUAUAUAUAUAGGAUAUACAAUUAUAAAUGGAUAAGUAUACUGCAGAAAAAGCGUAAAAAACUGGCAUCAUUCACGACUCUGUUAUAAUAAUAAUAAUAACAACACGAAAUAGCGUCAUUUUUGCAAUAGCGAAAAAACUGUUUUUUUUUUUUCUAAAUUUUUUUCCGGUAAAGUAAACAUCAGCUCGUUCGCCCCCGGGCCGUCGGGCUUUCCGUACGAUAUUAUAAUGUAUAUUGUCGUUUUGUCCUCGCCAAAAUUGGACCGUUUCCCGAGCGUCCCGUUAAAUUUACAAUUCAUUAAAUUUGAAUUGUUAUAAAAGCCCUCUAUUGUGUGAAAUAUAUAUUAUUAUAAAACGCGAUAUAAACUUCAAUAAUUGAAUGGCGCGUUGUGUGAUUGUUUAUAUAAUAACGUUUUAUAUAAUAAAAUUAUAUGUACACAUAUAUAUAUAUAUAUAUAUUUAUGUUUGUUUUUGCGAAACGAUACCGCGCGUUUGUGCGAAUUUCAUUCGGUAAUUGAAACUAAAAAAAACACAGUUAUAUCGGCGGCCCUACCAACGUAACACCGCGGCAGUCGAUGUAUUGUGUUGGCGGCGAUAGAUUUAUAAAAUUGUCGGCGCACGGUUCUACAUUUUUUUUGUUUACAAUUUGCCAGUCUCUCGGUUGGUAGUGGCGGUUUUUAUUGGGAGUGUGUGAGGGGGGGGGUGAUGGGAGCGAUCACACGGCAAACCAUUGCUAACGAAAAUUCGAUUCUGCAGAGAGGAGUUCAGUUAAUUGUGAUGCUUUGUCAACAAUAUUUAUGUCCUAUUAUGGUAAAAUAAUUAAAUAAGCAAUAUAUAUUUUCUUUAAAAACAUUUGUUUAAUAUUGUACCGAUUUUCCCACGUUUUUCCUGGUUUUUCACAUUUUCUGGGAAAACUGCUGGGAAAAUCGAAAAAUUACCUCCCUAAAAUACCUCCCCAGUUAGAUUUUCUUUUAGAAAAAGUGAUAUUGUAAAUCGGAGCAAAAUGCUGGUAAAAAAGUUUCUUUCACAGAAAAAAAAAUCGUAAUAUUUUACUAAUAUAUUUCAUACAUUUUCCAGUUUUUUUUUGUUUUUCACAUUCGUUAAAAAAACAUCAGAAAAAAUUGAAAAAUGACCUCCUUAGAGUACCUCCCUCCCUCCCAACAAAAUUUCUUUUCAGAAAAGUCGCUACAUCGUAUACAUUGGAGCAAGAUCUCUGGUAGAAAAGUUGUUCACAGAUAAAACAGUUGUAAAUCCAUAAGAUUCUUUGCUCAACUCAGAAUAUAAAAUGAGUUAUGCGUAACUUAUUAUAGCACCAUAAACAAAUGUUAUCCUUUAUUUGAUAUAUGUUAUUGUGGUAUGGGGUCUAACAAAAUUAAAAUCGCCUCCCCCGGUAAAGGGGACCGUUCGCGCAUUUCUUUCUUUGCGGUCGUUCAAUCCUUUCAUCACGCUGGAUCGAUCCUCGGAGCGACCCGGUUUUGACCUCAGACGUCAGUACGGGAAUAUAAGGUGUUGUACAGGGUUAGUUGAGAUCGCCGGGUCGGAUCACCGACCGUACGCCCUAGUAUUUGUCCCAAGCGCUGAUUUUACUGAGUGGGUCAUGCAGUGGGUUCAGGUGCACAAACGCUAAACACAUAACACGUUCGGGCAUCUCACAGAUGUAUAAAAAUAUACAGCCCACUGGGAAGUUCAAAAUUUAUAACUUAGUAUAUUUCGAAUCGAUAAAGAAGUUGCAAAAUAUCAAUCUCUAAUUGGACUGGGUAGCAGUAUAGUAUUAUUUAUCCGGAACCGCUUUUCGUUUGUAAAUCUUUGUCGUCGCAUACAGUAUACGUGCAUAAACUAAAUUACACUGUAUAAUAUUAAAUAUCUUCCCGAUUACCCAUCUACGCAACAGCUAGUGGCCUACCCGUGAGCUGUAUCGAUUUUUUUAAGUUUUUAUGUACCGGAUAAUCAAAUCUGGGCAAUAACUUGUGUAGUUAAAUUCAUCAAUAAUAAUUUUUCAAAAUCAUAGAAUAAUUUUAAAAAAUAUUUAAAUAACAACAGUGAUAUUAUCAAUAAAAUUAGUAUUAUAUAUUGAGCAAAAACUUUUAUUAUGUCCAUAAAAUUGUUUGCUAAAAUCGUCUGACUUUUAUAAAGUCUUAAUUAAGAAACCAAACUUUUAUAUAAAAAAAAAAAACACAAAACUUGUUUAGUGCAAAGUUGUUUUUAUUGGUCGAUAUCACAAAUGCGUAUAAAAAAAAGUUAUUAUUGGUUUAAAAUAGGAUAAUUUCAUGUUUUUCAAACUAGGAACUUUUUUUGUAGUGUAAAUAGUUUUUGAGUGUAAAUAUCGAAACAAAUAAAAACAAUAGCUUAGUGCAGGCAGGUACAGUAAGAGAAUAUUGAAAACACUUUUCGAGGUUUUUUUUUCCCAUAAGCAUUUUAUAGUUCAUUUCACUACAAAUUUAAAUAUAUUUUUCGAAUCAAUAAAUUUUCGAUUUUUUUUUCAAAAAUUUAUCGCUGUGAGUUUCAAGUUUACGACUACCUGAAUUGCGUGUUUAAAUUUUUACCGAAACGAUCGCUUGAAAAAAAAAAAAAUAAAAAAAAAAUCAUACGUUUUGUCACCGUAACGCAGAAAUAUUAUAUUCGGCAAUAUUUCGAAAUGCCGCAGUAAUAAUAUUUCUCAAAGGCAUAAAAUAAUAUAUUAUUGUUAUUUUUUUCACGCCGUUGAAAGUAAAAAUCAAUAUAAUACGUAAAAAAAUAUAAAGCGCGUAUCGAAAUAACAGCCGCGUGUUGUAUUCUCGUCCGAGAAAAGGUUGUUUGCGUUUUCUGGGUCGUAUACUGUAUAGUACAAACAACUAAAACCCGUACACCUACUUAAACAAUAUUGUUACUAUACGGUCGUAAAAAUAUGAAAAAAAAAAAAAAAUAAAUAAUAAUAAUAAAAACACUCUGAAAUUAAUACACCUGCAAAAAAUAAUCGGUCGAGAUCGUGCGGGUUAAUUGCAGUUUCUUAUAAAAAAAAUUUAUCGAUCGGUUAUGUAAUUUUUAUGAGCGAACUUUUUUACCGUUAUACACUAUUAUUACAUUAAAUAGAGCGGCUUAACACACGUUUUAUAGUUUUUUUUUUUUUUACAUCGAUUUUGUCCUUAAAUGUCAAUAUACAGGCACCUAUAGCUAGGUAUAGUGCAAUAUGUUCGGCUUUAAAGAAUAGAACACGUGAACUAGUACCCUUUUGAUAUUUACCCGUUCCGCCUGCCAGCGGAUAUACUAUUACAAAUUAUAUUAUCUAGAUACUGCCUGUAUGCCAUUAAGUACGUCAUUUUCUACGUAUCGUUAUGUAUAUAUAAAAAAAAUAUUUGUUUGAAAAUAUACGAAUUUCAUAUCGUACCUCUAAUAUAUUUAUGAAAGUUAGUGUUAAGAUGACGUUAUACCUGCGCGUGCUUUCUCCGUCUUGAAAAACGUACGACUUGGCGAAUUUGGGUUCGGUAGUGACCGAUGUGUGUCGUUAGUUUUAAUAUUGAAGCGAAAUUGACCUAUCCAUCGAACUUAAAGCCGAGAAAAUUAUCUAUGUAUAUUUCUGGUGCUAUUUUAGAUUCUGAGUGUAGCGAAGAAUGUAUUAGUUUUACAAAGAUGUUAAUUUUUUUUAUUUUUGUAUGCUGUGUACAAAAAUUUUGCUAGAAAUCUUGCUUUCUGAAAGGAAUUUUCCUGAAGUGGUCCUGAAUAAGUCCUUUAAAUAUUUAAGCGAAAUGACCUGUAAUCAGAAUUAAAGAUAAGACUAUGUGCAACUAUUCUGAUUUUUCUCUCUUGAUAUUUUGAUUUUCAAGAGUAUGAUGCAAAAAUAUAUCCCAGAUUAAAAGCGUUUAUAUAAUCGAUAAUAUUACGUGUAGGUGUAUUCAUAAAUUGUGUAAAGAUUCGAAACGAACACGGUGUCGGGCUUAUUACGGUGUAAUCGGUAACACAAAAAAGUAUUUCGCACCGACGCCGAGCUAAUCCCGAAAUUAAUCCGUAAUUCCCCGAACGAAACGUGUGGACUUUAUAUUGAAACGCCUAAGUAAUAAAUUAAAAAAUAAGUAGACGUUUUGCAGCAGGUGGUUUAACUGUCGCGGGGUGUGAUUUAACGUAUGUACAAAGCGUUUUUGUAUUUUGUUAGAGAAAAAAAAUCGUUUCGUUUAAUCGGAUUUAAGAAACGUUCAACGUAUUAUUUUUUUUUAUACUCUUUUAAAUUUAUAGAGAAAUUUAAAUUCUUACUAUUCUAACUUCUAUACUUUUGUAAUACUUCGUGUAAUUUUUCACUAUUGGAUAAUGACCUUUAUUAUUUAAAAAUACAUAGUAUCAUAAAAAAAAAAAUUAAACGUACAUGAAAUAUGAAAUAAUGUGAUUUUUUUAUAUAAAUAUAUUUUCAUAGAAAAAUAUCAACUUAUAAUUUAUAAUUUUUUUGUUAAUAAUUUUACAAGCAAAAGAAAUAUAGAAAAUUCGAGUAUAUUGUUCUUUUUCCAUAAAGAUUAAAAUAUACGUACUUCGUGAGUGUAUUAUAAAAAAUAAGGAGAAGAAAAAUGAUCUUAGUAUAAGCUUCUUUCAUUGUUUUUUUGUUGUUUUUAAACUAAUUAAUAAAUAAAAAAAAAAAAAACGGAAAACAGAUAAACUUCACAUAAUAUAUCUGGGGAUCACUGGUAUAGUGCAGCAGUUUUCAACCAUACUAUUGUUACGUAGAAAGCUCAUAGUACGCGAAGGAAAUUUUGUUUUUUAUAAAAAAAUUAAUUCAUCGUUGAAAAUAAUAUAAAACUGAAAGAUAUCAAUGUGGAGCGCGAUGUCGUUGACGUCCUAAUCGAUUCGAAAUUAGGCGCAAAAGUUUUGAUACAAAAUAUUCCUAUCAUAUAAUCAUUAUCAUAAUAAUUCUACUUCGGACAAUUUUCAAAUUAGAUUUUCUAUUUGAUUUUACUUAUUGAGCAAUAAAUAAUUUACAUUUGCAUUAUUACCUACCUACAGUCGUAGUUUCAGAUUAACGCUAAUUAAUUAGAAGUAAUAAUUUCCAAUACAUAUAACAUAUAUUUUAAAAAAUGCGUACAUUUUUCGACAACCAAUGCGGUACGUGCAAAUUUAUGAAAUUUGUAGACAAUACUUAUUGGAUACGAAAAGGCGAGAACCAGUGGUGUAUUUAGGAUUUCACUGAGCAGAAGAUAUUGAAUUUUGUUACUGUGUCAUAUUAUAUAACGACUAUAACGUGCACCUGGUAGAUACCUAGUCUAAACAAAGAUCAAUUAUUAGUUUGUGUAAGUAAUUAAUAAAUAAAAAAAAAAUGCCAUACAAUUUUUAUUGAAAUUAAAUAACUAGUUUAGGUUCUAACUUCUAACCUCCUUCAUAUUUGCAGGAUUAUAGGUUUAGAUAUAAUUUUGAUAGGUUUCGUUGUAAAUAAGUAAAUGUUCAGGUAAGUACGUUUAGGUUUCUUUAUAUAUUAACUAUAAAAGUACCCACCUAUACGAUUUGAAAAUGUAAAAAUUAAAAAAAAAAAAUUAGGUAAGUAGUUAUAAAAGAUAUGAAAUAUAAAUAGUAGACACUACAAAAUACUCAAGUGGGUUGUAUAACUUUCUAUUCCCCCUCCUUUAAUACGCCACUGUCCAUAACGCCCGACUCGUAAUUGGAUUAGUUUAUUAAAACCGCGACAAGAACUUUGUUUUUUUUACAAAUUUUCAACAUUAUAUAAACUUACUAAUAUUAUUCGAUCGAUUUAUUAUCGUGUUUAACAAUAAUAACGCAAAACCUUCCCCUUAUACAGGUUAUUAUUAAUAAUUUAUAAUAAACUAAAAAUUAAUUAUAAAAACUAGUGUUUUAAUAACAUAGAUAGUUUAUACAGUGUUUAAACUUUUUUUUUUUUUAAAUGUCAGAUAAUAAUUAUAUAUUAUACUUGUAUAAUUUGAUCGACAGCGCGUUAAACGAUUAUUAUUAUUCACACAAUAUUAUAAUAAUGUAAAAACUUUAGUGUUUUUGAUUAUAGGUACGAGAAGUUAUUUGUCAGUUUAAUAAACUCAAAAACACGUUAUGACGACGGCCACACAGUCUUUUCCUUUUUUUUUUUAUAGAAUACGGUUAAGAAAUAUUAUAAAUGAUGCAGACAGGUAGUGUUUGUUUCAAAGCAUUUUCGUCAGACAUGUCGUAGUCGUUUCAUUUAAAUUAAAGCGUACCAUAUUGUAUAUAAUAGAUAACGUUUAACAUCCAGUUUUAGCCAUUUUGGGUGAUACGUCGUAAAGGCUUACUAUGGGCGACGGACGUACACUCUAUAUCAUUAUAAAUUGCAUGUCAACAGUGACUUUUUUCAUUUUCCUUUCAAUUCUUUUAAACCGGAAAAUAACGUAUAGAAAGGAGGAAUUUAAUCAAUACUAAAAUUAUAUCACACUAAAUUAUAAUACUGUUUUAUGUGUUGAAGUCUAACCACGAUAAUUUUCCUUAUUUGUUUUACUUCUCUAGAUUUUGAGCGUACCGAAGAUUAUGUUGAUUUUACUAUGACGUUGCGUGAUUUAUAUUUAAAUUUAUUAUGGAUGUUAACAACUUUCUUAACAAAUGCUUUGCUCCGAUCAUCAAUAUCAGGGAUAUUCGUUUCUGGUAGCAAUACUACUUGGUCUGAAUAUAGAUAGCACGUUGUUGAUUUUUUUUUAUAGUUGUAUUGAUAAUUGGAGUGGGAGGGUAAUCGUUGGGAAAACUGAAUCUUUUAGUAUUUACAUAAUAAUAAUAAUAAUAUCUGUUAUUUUCGAUUUUGUUUUAGAUUAUGAGCGUUACGAGGGACCUAUUGGUUUUACUAUGUUGUCUGGUUUUGGAAUUUUAUUUUUUAUUUUUUGUGACUGUGAACACCUUUUCUACUAGAAAAAUUGUUCCGAAGUAUAGACUAUAGCAUGGGUAGAUUAUGCUUGCAUAUAUAAAUGCAAUGAUAUCAAGAGCCAAAAUAUUUGUAAAUACAUUUUCUAAUUUAAUAUAAUUUGAUCUAAUUUGUACAUUUAUAACACAAAAGUAAUAACGAUAGGUAACAGCCUAAAAUAUAUUAUCAAAUUACGUAUUAAUAAAAUAUUAUUUUGUUUUGAUUAGAUUUCGAGUUUUCUAACGAUUUCUAAUACCUAAAUAUUAAGAACUGUGCGGUAAAUUUGAUAUCAAUUUUUGAUAUAUUCGUGUGAAUCGCUUUAUUCAACAAUGAAAAUAAUUAAGUUGAAAUAUCAAUCAAAUUUGAAUGAUGUUCAUCUUACAAAAUUACUGAGAACUGCUCUUACAUGCAACCAGAUCUUAAGUAGCUUACUAAAAAAACAGACACGAAAAAAAUACCACGCAAACAAAUUUAGCAUCAUCGUUUUCAUUGUUUUUAUUACGUUAACAUGAUGUUUUAUACCAGAAAUAUUAUUCCAAUCCAAAAAUGACAAGAAAUCUUUUUUGUUCUUUUUAAUAUUUCACUAUCGACAGAGAUAGUAAUUUUUUAUUAUUGAAGGAGUUUUUACAAUAAUUAGGAAAAACCAAAAAAGACGAAAUAUAUGAUUUUUUUUUAAAUUACAGAACAAUGAUUUCAUUGUUUUUAAUUUUUACGGUUUAUGUUUUCUAUCAUAAAUAUUUUUCCAAUAGAAACAUUUUUUUUUGUUGAAUUUUCAUUCUAGUUGGUGACCAAGAAAAUCGUUUUUCGGUUUUCUUUGUAAUUAUUUAAAAAUUGGGUAAAACUGAUAAAUAUGUAGAAAGAAAUGGAAAAUGUAUGAAAGUAAUUAUUUUAUUUAUUUUUAUAUUAUUAUUUAUUUAAAGUUUAUUUUAUUUGAAAAAAAAAUAUUUUGUUAUUUUUUUAUUUUACUCACUGGGAUAAGGAUUACAAAAAUUUAUAUUUCAAUUAAUUUUUUAUGUAUUGGUAAAAAACUUAGAAAAAUAAUUAUUGAUAUGCCUUAUCCCUAUGAAUAAUAUUUAAUAAAAAUAGAAUUUGAGUAUCUUUAUUAUUUUCGAAGAUAUUACAUUGGAUAUAUUUUCAUAGGACGCUCUGUAUAAUACAUUUUUAAAUAAAACAUUUGUCUGAACAAUUCAGAGGUUUAAUCUUAUUCGUUUAAGAUGAGGUAACUUUCGUCUGGUUUUGAGGUUUUUGAACUAAGUUGACUCUUGUCUGUUUUGGAAAUUGAAUUGCUCUUUUGGGCUUUAAAAAAAGUAAAUAAAGAAAUUCCUUUAAUAUGUAUUGUGAUACGUUUUAUGCUUUCAAAAUCAAAGGAAGAUAUAUCAGUUUUGUAAAAAAAAAGGAUGGACAUAUUUUUUGAACGUGGAUACAGCCACUGUUGUAGGUAGGAAGGAUGGGAUUUUGAGAAGGUAUGAUACAGACGGGAAUUUAAUGUAUAUCUGUAAACAACGACAAACCAUUGCUAAUGAAAAAAAUAUUCUGAACGGAGUUCAAUUGAUAGUGUUGCUUUGUCAACAAUAUAUUGUCAUACUAUGGUAAAAUGAUUACAGCAAUAUACGUUUCCACGACAACAAUGAUUGUUUAAAAAAGAUUAAAAUAAUAAAAAAUUUCACGUGAUAUUCGUCCAUUAUUUUAGAAAUAUUUGAUCCUCGUAGACCAAUUAUCCUUAAGCGUACACGAGAAUCAAUGAUAGUGAAUAUUUUCUAAGAAAAUAUGUAAUGAAAUAAGUAAUGAUUACGGUUUAUAAUUAUAAAUUCACAUUUAAGAAUUAAAUGAUCUAUACAAAUUAUAUUUUGAAAAUUGUUAAAAAAGUUUAAAGAAAUAUUCUGAAAUCAACUCACAAUAAUUUGCUUGUUAUGGAUUAUUUUGUAAUAAACCAUCUUUGAGUUAUUUUCUCGUGGCUGUAGUGAAUUUAAACAUUUUGAACUCAUCAUAUAACCACCUAUAAAAAUGGCAAACACACCAUCAGCUCUUUUUUAAAAAUGUUUGUCGUCUCAUUUUAUGUUGUAUAUACGAUCAGGUAGGUAUUCUAUUUAACCGUAAACGAGAUUAACUAUUAAUAAUUAUUGAUGACCGUUAACUAUUUUAAAUUAUCAAUGAUUGUUAUUAUUUACUCAUCAAUAUGUUUUUACAAAUUUGUUAUGGAUAAUCGUAAUUAUUAUUAUUACCUACCCCGAGUAACUAUACUAUCGUUUAUAACAGAUUUCGUAACAACACGUUUUAUUAAUUGACAUGACAGAUUAUAAUAUUAUAAUUGAAUAAUAAUUUUUGCCUUCGUAUAACAAUAACAUUGUAUAGGUAGUAAACUUAAUAUCAACAUUUUCGAAAUAAUCGAAUUAUUUGAUUUCAUUAUUUAUCGGUAAUAGAUAUCGCGUGCGCGUCGUUGGUGUAAAUACAUUUUUAUUAAAAUGUAGAAAAUCGGUUUUUCAACCGCCGUCUGUCAAAUAAUCGUACGCCGCCGUUGGUUUAUUAAAAUGAACGAGAAACAAUAUAUCACUCGAUUGUACCACCACGGUUAAAAUAAAACACGUUUUAGUACACAUUUUUAUGAAAUGGCAUACUGCGAAAUAACAAUUUUGCUGUACCUCCGUCAAAUUCGACAUAACAAGAGAAUGAAACACUGCUUGUACGUGGGCAGUGUAAGUUCUACUUAGGUUUUUUCCCCCCGUUUUACUCGUAUACAAUUGUGGUAUUUAUUUAUCAUUGUAUUAUUUUCGAGAUUGUAUGCAGCCACGAUCGACGGAGUAGACGACUAAACGGAAAUGGUAUGAGGAUUGAGGAGACGUGAAAGUGGACAAUGUAACCGUAUAUAGCUGACUUUGUACUUUCGUGCGGGAUAAAACCGAAAUGGAAGCAGUUGUGCGUAUUUUGCACACGGGAUCACGAAUCAUAAACAUUGUGGAUUUAUACAGAGCUUUUCAAUAAGAUUUGAUAAAUAUAUACAAUAGGUAUAACUUAAAAACUCGUGUCGUAUGGUAACUUAUGCCCAAUAUGGUGUCUUAUAUAUCCGUAGAAAAGGCAUUAUUAAAGUAUAUGCGGACGAAGCCACAGAUUAUUACAGUUACCUAAAAGGUAAAAAAGGUAUAAAAGGCUUAUAUGAGUAAGUUCGUCGCUCUUAACAUGAUACCAUUUUGGUUAGGGUUCUUAGUGUCACAAUACCACAAUAUUAUUAAAUAGAUAUAGUCUGGUACAGAUGUCGUGUUUGUUGGAUUAUUGUGGCUGAUUGCGGUUUAAUGCAGUGAUAAAUUGUGUUUUACGAGUUCUUAUUUUUGAAAUCAAAAGUGGCAUUAUUGUAAUUACAUAUUAUGUAUAACAUAGGUACCUUGUUCUUGUGAUGAACGAUAACAUUUUUAAUAAUAUUUUCAUUAUUUAUGCUGUUAUAAAUAUACGAUUACCCUAUUCAGUAAUUAAUUUCGUAAACUUGGUUUUUAUAGACAAACGUUUGACGGUUAAACAUUAUGUGCCGAUAAUGUUUGUUGUUUGUUUUUUAUCGUAUUUGUGAAAAUAUCAAUUGAUUUUAUCUUUUUAACGUUAGUAGAACCCAAAUUACAAUGCAAAGUACAUUUUUCCGGGGGGGGGGGGGGGAUCUGAGACAAUGCUUUCCAAAUACUUGUAAAGCACUUAGUAUGUACAUAAGAAUAUAUUACUUAUACUUAUAAUUCGAUUCAUGUAACAAAUAUUUAAAAAAUAGAAUUUUUAUUUUGUUAAUUUAGUAUAUAUAUACCAUAAUAUGAAUUAAUUGUUAAAUAAAAAAAUUUAAGCGAUACAAAAUAUUGCCUCAUACAAUUUAUUUUAAUAGGUUUUUUACGUAUUAUAUUUAAAAAUAUAUUUUCAAUCGUUCUGUUUAUAAUUUCGAUAAUAACUUAAAAUUUUAUGUUGCUAUGACCCAUCACCCGGGAUCGAUCAAAUAAUGAAAUAAUUAUUAAUUGUACUAAAUAGAAAUUUUUUAUUAAGUAUUUAUUACUGUUUUCCUUUUUUAGAGCAAUUUUUAUCAUUUAAAUUCACACCCUAAUCAUAUUUACUAUAUUUACAGUUGAUAUUUACGGCUGAUGAUAUCAACUAAUCCGAGAUACGAUUGUUGCCUGAACGUUUUUAACUAUCAGAAAUGUGUACGGUGUGUGACUUAUUUUGUAUAUAAUUGUAAAUUAUUAUCCUUUGACAAAACGACAUUACGUGCGGUCUGCAAAUAGAUCCGUACGGAACGGAUCUAAACGCGUGCGGGUCAUGAAUAACAGUACCACACUGCGGCGAUGGUGGUGACGGUAAAAUAAUUUGUCGCUUCAUUUUACAGCAGUUAGUACGAGUCGUAUACAUAAGUUCUCAUGGUCGAUUUUAGUCAGCUAAACGACAAAAACAAAAACCACUCAACGCAUCAUUAUAGAGGUAAAUUUCUGUAUUAUAUGGCGACUUGAAUUCGAUAAAAAAAAUAUUAUAGAUAGACAGUGUAGGUAGACUCAAGUGGAUAAAACUGCAAAAUCCCCAACAUUAUAUUAUAUUAUGUUGGAGAUCUUUAUUGUGAAUAUUUUUUCUGUUUUUGUAUCGUUGUCUAUAGCCUUUUGUAUUAUAUUAUAAAAAAAAAAAAAGUCAUCCAGUAACAUAAAAUACCUAAAAUAACAUAAUUCUAUAAUAUAUGUUAUAAAAAUCAUAAAACUCGUUAGACGUAUUAACUACUAUUAUCUAUAUCUACUCUUAUACUAUAUUUAAUGGAAUUUUUAAAUUGAAUUUCAGCAAGUCUACUCGCAACUUUCUGUAUUUGAAAAAAAUACAUUUCAUGUUUCGUUCAAUUUGUAUUAUAUUUAUAAUCAUAAAUUAUUAAUAUAUUAUUCUAUUGUAUAUUGUCCUGGUUUCCUGCUAAGACCUAACUAGACAAACUGUAACUACAAAAAUUGUAUUGUUUGGGCAAAUUAGUUUUUCGUUUUCUUUGUUUAUGUCACCUUGAAAUCAUUAAUUCUCACCAUUUUUGAAUUUAUUAUUUAUCAUACGUCCAUUACGCAUUCAAAAUAUCGUAGAAUAUUUUAUGUUGUACUUAAUCAAUUAUUUUUAUCUUUUCUUCUUUAUUUUUAAGGGGGCGCUUUAUUCGAAUUUAUUGUUUCAGUCUAAUCAAAGGGCAGCAUAACAAUACAGCAAAAUUACAUUACUUAGAAAAUAAGCUGUAGUGUUCAGGUAAAACAUAGAGUUUAAUUACUUAUAGCACAAUUUAAAGGUAAUAAUAUUUAAAAAAAAAAAAAAAAAUUGAUCACGAGAUCAUAGUUUUUAAAGGCUCGUCCAUUAAGUCUUUCAAGUUAUUUUUUAAACAGGCUGCGCUCUCUAAUAGAUUCUAUUCUAUAAGACAUUUGUCUUCUAAAUAUUGUCAUUAGACGAACAUUUUUUGUCACGUUUCAAAUCAUUUUAAAAAUCGUCCGUAACAGUUGGCUAUAUUGUUAAUAACAUGAAACGUUCUUAAAUCGUUUGCAUAAUUUGCAUAGAACCAUUUGCUCAGCGUUUUCUAGGUUUGUUUUUGUGGAUGCACACGAAUUGCCUCCUAUCUGACCCUCGAAUUGUCACCCGUGAAUUUUUUUUUAAAAGGUUACUCGAAUUGCCUCCCGAUUUCUAAAAUAUCAUUCAUUCGAAUUGUCUUCUAUUUUAGGUAGUAACCUUCUUAUAUCGAAAUUGAUUUCUAUUUUGAUUUUUUUGAAAACUAAAAAAUAUUUUACAUAGCUAAGUAUUAGGUACACGACAUUAGUACACAUAUGAUUAGUAGACAUUAGUACAAAAGAGCAAAUUUGAUACGUAUUGUAUCAAAAUUACAUCAAAUUUAUCAAUUAAGUUAUUAAUAAAAUUAAUUUUACUUUUAGUAGUUGUCCUAACUUUUUGGUUUCCACUGUUGAAGAUCUAAUAAAAAUUACCGUACCUAACUGCAUUGAUUUUAGUAUUUAAAAAUUUAUAAAUAUGAGGGUGAGAGGAUGAAAAAUUAGAAUUUAAAUUUUUGUGGAAUGAUUCACAAGCGUUAGUAGACUUUUGUAUACUUGAUGUUAUUGCACCUCACAUUCUUGGUGAGAAAGUUGAAUCUUCAUCUAUAUAAUUUUCAAACAAAUAAUAGGAAAAUUGAGUUAUUUUGACAUUAUCAGGUUUUAAUUCACCAAAAUCCAUGGUGAAAUUGCCAAAAGUUCCAUCCACAUGUAUUUAGCGUACUUAGAAACUUAAUAUUAUCGUCGCAUGAAAACAUUAACUAAUCAUUUAAUCGGCCAUUUACUAUUAAAAAGUUCUCAUCUAUAAACAUUUUAACCUUAAUGGACGAUAAAACUUUAUAAACUUCAUUCACAUUUUGUGGCAAUUUUGGAUAUAUAGAAUUCCUAAUAUUGUUCAUGUUAUUUUUAAUGUUAAUUUACUUCUGAAGUUGUUAAUGUACUACUUACAUUACUAUUUUUUAUCUCGUCGUGAAAUAAUUUUGCGAAAUUAUGUUGAACUAGUGAUAUUGAAUACGAUAGUCAACUAAGCUACUGAUAUCAGAUAUCGAUAAGAUUAUUGCAAUUGACAAAUAAUUAAACUGUCUGGGAAAUACUAUAUGUAUAUAUUACUAUAAAUAAUAAAAAUAAUAUUUUUGAACAUUACGGAAAUCAAUAUAAUAAUCGAUAGUACACGUCAAUUAUCGAUAUAUUAAUUAAUAAUCUAGGUAUGCAAUGGGAGGCGAUUCGAGUGGACGGUUUGGGUAUACUCAAAUCGCCUCCGAAAACACCCGGAGGCAAUACGAGUGAAAAAAGGUCAUCUACCUGAAUUUUGGAGGCAAAUCGAGAACUCCCGUUUUUGUUGGUGCAAUAGGUUGGUUCGCUUUUGAUGACUUUUUAUUUUCUUCGUUUAUUACAUGGAUCGACAGUUUGGAUGGCGAUCCAUUACCUGAUUACCUUAUUAUCUGAUGCAGUAUUAUCUGUAUCAUCAAUUUUUUGUAAUUUAAAUUUUUAAAACAAGGCACUGUUUCUAAGGUUAUCGUCCUUGUUUCCAUUUAAAUGUGACGAUUUUGUGGUCCUACUAACAUAAUUCUGAGAUAUUUCUGAUUGAUUAUUUUUAAAUACGUUUAAAGCCAUUGUUUCUGCAAUUGUGCUUAAAAAAAGUUUAGCACUGGAUGCUUUACCGGAUUCUCUAUGACGCAGUUUGUUAUUGACAUUAUUUCUAGUAACUUUUGCGGUAUUAUUAACUUACUUUUUGGAAAAUAUUGGAUACUCAGUAUUUUGGAAUUUGACUUGUACUACAGUUUUUGAAUAUAUUUUCGAGUUUUCGUUAUUUUAAUUUUUUUAACGAAAAAAAAUUUUCGAUUUUUCAUUUGGUACCUAAUCUAUGCAAUCGAAUGCAUACCUGCCGCACCCGGACGCAAUCGAAAACCGGUAAAAACAGUAAAGUCAAAACGGGACGCAAUCUGACGAUGCCAGCUGUAUCAUCUUUGAACUUAAGCAUACUUAUUGAUUUAUUCCCUAUAAUAAACACGGUGAUUUAUCUGUUUAUAGUAUUGAACGACCACCCCCUCCGGUUUGAUACGACAUUUUUUUAAUAGAUUUUUAAGUUAUCACUAUAGUACAGAUUUUCACCGCGAUAAAAAAAAAAAAAACCCGAAGUUACAUAAUAACAUCGAAUAAUCAAAUUCAAUAUAAUAUUAUGUAGGUGUAAUAUGCGACAAGGGGUUUUUUGAAAAUUCGGCGUUUACUAUAAUACUAUACGCGAACUCGUCUACUUGUCACGACGAGCAUAUUGAUCACACCCGUAUUAUAUUCUCUCGACAACGGUUAUUAUUAUAAUAUCAUACUUGGACGAAAUCUAAAUAACAAUAAUAAUAAUAAUAAUAAUAGGUAAUCAUUUUUCCUUUUACGCACGUGUUCAUGACACGCACAAUAAUUUAUUAUAAUCGAUUGUUUUAAAUUAUUAUCACACACGUCUUUGAUGUGUACGGUACAGAUUAUAACAAUAAUAUUGUUAUCACGGAAUGUCAAGCCGGUAGCGCGUGCGGUUGUAACGGUUUAACGCGGGCCGUCAUUUUUGGCGCGGAUCCGUCGAGACCUUUCGGCCGUCAUCACGUCCUCCGUCACACGCUGCAUUAUACGACGAUGACGGUUUUCCAGAUGUAUUAUAUGUAUAUGAAUACGUCGGGGGACGCGCGUUUAUUAUUUAUUAUUAAAAAAAGACGACCGGUCCCUGUCUAUAUAUAUACGUAUAUUCUUAUAUUCUAUACAUUCUAUAAUAUAUUCCGAAAAUCAUACUACGCUGACGGCGGCGAAUAAAACCGCGCGUAUCAUAAACUAAAACCAACGCGUGUACCAUCGACAACGCCCCGAAAAACUGUAAUAAUAAUAACAAUACGACUCGGGAUGUUUUCUCGGCGAAGGUUUCGGAAAAAAUCAGCUCGUAUUGUACCGAAACGAUAGUUUCGGUAUCGACGGAAAAUGUACAUAUAAAUAUUAAUAAUUUUAUUACAAUAUUGUAUACACAUAUAUAGGGGGUUGCCGCGAUGGAGACAGCCGACGAAAGUCAAAAGUUCAAACGCGAGUUUCCAUGAUAUUAUGUAUAAUACUAAUAAAAGCAAAAAGACUCGAAAGCGCAAUACGACGGGACCGAAAGUCGUGUGUUUUUGUUUUGUAUUUGUAUGCACACAGGGCGAUUUUUUCUAUCGCUGUACAUUCAUUACUUUGAAAACUAUUGAUUUUUUCCGAAAAGAAAUCAUUUUGAAAUUUAAUAAUCAAACAGCUUGACAAAUGUUACGAUACCAUUGUUUUUUGAUUUAACUACAUUUUCGGGGGUGAAUCGACAACUUACUUUUGAUUUUUCAAUGGUCACUUAUAUACUAAAAAAAUUCAUAAAUAGACGGAUUAUUAUUUGUAAUUUUUUCGUUGAAAUAUUUGAUUUUUGUCAAUCCGUUUACGAAAUAUGUACCACUUUUAAGUUUGGGCAAGGAGAGAGUAGUGGAGCAUUAUACAUAACGGUAAUAUACAAUUUUAAAGCCACCUGUUUCUUAAAUUGUCAAGAAUUUUUUUUAAAAUUUAACACUUCGAAAUAAUAAUGAGUGUUGAAAGAUAAAAAAAAUCACUCUGUAUACAUAAUUUUACGGUGUAGAAUUUUCGAAAUUCAAUAUCGCGUAUAUUUUCUUUCCAAAUAAUACAUCAUUAACUCCGAACCAUACGAACGCCGUCGUUCGUAGUCUCGCGUUUGCCUGUCGAGUUUUAUAAUAUUUUUGCUUUCUCGACACCAAAAACGAAUACAUAAUACGACUCGUCAAUAAUAUCUGCACUAUAAUAGUAGUAUAAUAAUACUACUGCCAAUUCCGCAAUAAAACUCGUAUAUUAUUAUGGGUACUAAAUAUUUUGUAUUCGAAUAGCGAUUGGGCCAGGGGUGACGUUACAAAAGUAUAUUAUUAACUAUAGUAUAGGUUUUUCCAAAAUAAAUUUACAAAACGUAUUUUAAACGUACAUAAAUUUUAUCGUCCAACACAUUCUAAAAUUUCAAUUUUUUUUUUUCAUGCAUACAAAUAAUGCCAAUAAAUACCAGCAUAAAGAAAAAAAAAUUUUAAUUUUGAAUGGGAAAAUGUUAAUGAAAUAAACGUGUAUUUUAUAACACUCCCAAGUAGCAGAACUUCGUCAUUAUAUACAGUGGUAUCCUCUUAUUUUCUUUUAUUGACAUAUUUUUUGUGCUAUACUUCCGCGAGAAAAAGACGAAAUUUGCAAUGCCGGCAGUUAAAAGUUGAAACUUCGUAGAAGGAUGCAAUUACAAAAUUUCAUCGGUUUGUUAAAUUCGAGAGAGGCUCUAUAUAUGGGUGAAUAAAGCUAGAUAAAUUUCCUCGUCUCGAUAAAAACUGCGGUGAUAUUUACGAGUGAAAUUAUUGCUUCGGUCGGGUUUUUAAAACAUCUGUAAUUUCUGAGUUCGGGAUCAUUUAAUUCGGAGGAACAAGUUAAAAGCGGGGAAAAGAUAAAUAUAUGUAUAACGGACGCAAUACGCAAAAAGUAUGUAGUCCAAUUAUUAUUUCCGGGGAAAAUUCCGCUGAAUAAAUAAAAAACAUUUUUGAAACACUCUCUCGAUAUAAGUAUAUAAUAUUAUCGCGAAUUAAUAUAAUUCGCAUAAAACAUCGCGUACGGUAUGAAAACAAAUAAUUUCCCGCAAUAAAAUACAUUUCUCGCGUACCAUAAGGAAAAAAAAAAAAAAAUCAAAAUUGUUUAUUUUCAUACUCGUUCGGAAAUGCUUUUGUAAUAUAUAUAUUUGGCCGGCCAGUAUAGGUAGUGACGGUGUUCCCAGCGGGCAGAUAAUACUAUGCUCGCGAGCUUAUCCUCUUUUUAAACCCUUAGACGAAAAAUAUUAUUUUAUUAUACCCGUUCGAUUUAUAUACAUUCGUAUAAAAAUGAAAUAAAAAAUAUAUAUUUUUUAUUUUACGACGAUGAUCCGUCGCGUAUUUGUAUACAUUUUUUUUUUGUUACGAGUUUAUUUUUGUACAGGUUUUUCAAACGUCUCUUGGGCGCUGGUAUGCAUAAACGGAAAGAGCAGUAAAGUACCUAUACACACAAAAUAUUUCCCGAAGAAACAAAAAUACCAAACUCAAAUUGCAUAAUAUAUGAACUGCAGUGACACUCGCAAUAGCUAUAGCAGUCGACAACAUAAGGUAGGUAGUAAACUUUUACUCGGUUAUGAUUUUGUUUUUUCGAUAUACGUUUCUUUUGUUAUCCUCGAACUUUCAAUUUUGUACGUAAUAGUUUUGUAUAAUACAUCAAAAGUUAUAAAAAAAAUAUCAAGUUCCGGAUUUUAUCGAUUGUAAUUUACAUAAUACAUGUUAUAUGAACAUCGGCAGAGCAGCGUUUAAAUAUUAUUAUAUUUUGUCCUUUUUUUAUUUUUUAGGUUGAUUUUUAAGAGUAAAAGCAUUUUAUUUUUACGGAUGUUCGAGGCGGGCUGACGUUAUAUUAUCAUAGUUCACGACUGCGAAUAUAAUAUUGUACGAAACGUUUCUGAUUUGUGCAGUUUUUUUUCCAAGAAAUUCAUAAAUAAUAUUACAUUGUUCACUG
rnacentral:lncRNA from 1 species